rnacentral:lncRNA from 1 species
ACAAGUCAUUACUAUUGGAGCUGAGAGAUUCCGUUGUCCAGAAGUCCUCUUCCAGCCAUCUCUCAUUGGGAUGGAAGCUGCUGGAAUCCAUGAAACUACCUACAACUCUAUCAUGAAGUGUGAUGUGGAUAUCAGGAAGGAUCUUUAUGGUAACAUUGUGCUCAGUGGUGGUUCAACCAUGUUCCCUGGUAUUGCAGACCGUAUGAGCAAGGAGAUCACUGCCCUUGCUCCUAGUAGCAUGAAGAUUAAGGUUGUUGCACCACCAGAGAGAAAGUACAGUGUCUGGAUUGGAGGAUCUAUCUUGGCAUCACUCAGCACCUUCCAGCAGGUGAAAUAUAUUUUCUUAUAUUUGGCUCAUGUUUUACUUUUGUGUAAAUUCAUUGCCCAAGACUGACAUUCUUGCUUUCGCUGUUGCAUCAGAUGUGGAUCUCCAAGGGCGAGUAUGAUGAGUCUGGACCAUCCAUUGUCCACAGGAAGUGCUUCUAAGUUUUAUAAGUGCUUUGAUGGUGAGUUACAUUUUCGAGUUAGUUGGCUUUUUGUGUCCUGUGUCAAGUGAAUUCAAAGUCUGGUUGAUGUGGGAAGGGUUGAAGGUGGGGAUCAUUGAAGGAGGGUGUUCUUUGAUUUUGGUGUAUUAUAUAACCCUUUCAUCAGUUGUGACUUAUUAUGCUCAUGGUGUCACUGCUAUUGAAAUGAUGGCCCUCAAGAUGUGGUGGUGGACUGGUGGACGGACAAUUGGUGCUUAUUUCCUUCCUUUCCAUGCAUCUUUCAACGAUGUUGCCUAGUAGGAUGUUUGUAGCUGGAGAGUGAUUGUGAUGAUUCUGUCUUAUAUUUUCUUUAAUUUCAGAUUAAGGGGUUUUUUUGCCCUGAGAACAUUAAUGUUAAUAGCUAUUGUAUGAGAAAAUUUAAAUUAGUGUCAGUUUGCGGUCAUAAACUUUUAUGGAAACUAUAUUUGAUACCUGAUUUUGAAAUCUAAGGGGGAAUGCUUUCUCUCUGAACUCAUAUGGUGUAAAAUCUGUUUGAAGAUUUCUUGUUAAUUGUGGUGAAUGGGGUUUCUUUAGAGGCAUGCCUCAAAAUAACAAUAUGUCUGCUCAGUUGUAAUUAUUAUGGAAACCAUUAGUAAGUAUGCAUACCGUUGCCCGGAUGAUUCCAGAGUCUUGGGUGAAACCACACCCAGAAUGGGAUGCUAUUUUAUGUUUUAUCGACGUAUCUUUUAAGGCAUCUUUAGGGAAACAAUUUCCAUAUGAUGUUAGGAUUAAAAAUAUAAAAAAUUUAAGUCUGCUAUGAGUAAGGAUUGCCUGCAUUUGCAGAUUGAUCAUAUGAUUCAUGCACUCUGUGUCACUUAUAUUAUGAUUACUAAUAUCCGUUGAAUGGUUGCUUCCUCGGGUAGAUCUUUCUGCUUAUGCACCAUAAUUUUCUGGUCAUGUACUGCUCUCCUUGAGUAUCAUUCUUCGCAGGUUUUUUUGGCUCCUGUCACACUAACUCGAAAGGAAAAUAAAGAAGCCCCAUCCGAAAAACUUAAACCUCUUCUUUUAUAUUAACAACUUGCAUUGUUUUAUAUAAGCAUUUAGCAUGAGGUUUCUUGUUUUGUUGAUGCUUGGAGCAUGAUUCUAGACGUUUGGAGAUUAGGGAUUCGAAUAAAUUUAUGUUUGAAAUAUUCUCUUCAGGCACGUAAGUAGAUAUAACUUGUGUGGAGGUUAGGUGUAGAUUAUGAAAUUCAGAAAGUUUAUUUUAUCUAAAAAUAAAAUUUAACAAAAAUGUAAGUAUUUAUUUUUUUAAUAAAAUAACAACUUGAGGUACAAAUCCCAAAAAAGAAGCCCAAUCAAUGAUGCGUAAACAGAUUUCGCCUGAUGUUAUUAACUAUUGCACAUUUGUCAAUGGAUAUUGUCUUCAAGUAAGGUGAACUUGAUGCAUUGAACUUGUUCAAGAACAUGGAGGAGAAGGGUCACAAGCCUGAUGUUAUUUCUUACUGUGUCCUUCUCGGGGGCUUUGCUAGAAAUGGCCUUGCACGAGAGGCAGUCAAUCUUUUGAAUUAUAUAGAGGCACAACAUAAUCAUUAAAGGCUUAUUAUGUAUAUGUGGUCGUUAAGGUAAGGAAGCUGAAGCUUUCUUUAGAUAGUCUGCCAGAGAAGUAUUUGGGAAAUUAUGCUGCCUUGGUUCAUGGCUAUUUUGAAUCAAGCCUCCCCAAACGUCUGUGAAUUAUUUGUUAAGCUGUCUAAGCAGGGAUUUAUAGUAAGGCUUUUUGCUCAAAACUCCUUGUCUUUGCAUGGAUGGGGAUAAUGUUCUUUUUGAAUACUGAACCUACCAAAUCUUAUAUAUAAAUACUGAACCUACCAAAUCUUAUAUAUAAAUACUGAACGUCACGUGUUGAGCAUUCAUUUUACCAUGUGGCAGUCACUUCAUUUUUAAUUUUUAUUUUAUUUUUUGGACCUUCUAAAUACAUCACAAAAUUUUCUUUAUACAUAAAUUUUUUUUUUCAAAACUACCCUCAUAACAAAUAUAAAUUUUAACCUUAGAUAAAUGAUGAAAAUAUUCUCAAUAGUUUAUACAUCCCAACGCCACUUUUCUUAAAUCUUGAAAAUCGAUUUUCAAGAAUUAUAUUACGUUCUUGAAAAUGGAUUUUGUUUAGAGAUUUUUGAGAAGUCAUCUUGUAUUCUCAAGAAUCCAUUUUUGAAAAUACAUAAUUUUUUGUUUAAAUAUAUAUUUAAUUAUAAGCUCUUAAUAACGUUUAAUUUUAAUUUAAAUAAAAUAAAUACAUUUAAUAUUAAAAUAAAUAAUGCUAAAAUAAAUAAAUUUGAUGUUCUAGGAUCUCCAAACAUCUCUACUAAUUUUUUCGAGGUAUAGCUUAAUUCUGACAAUAAGGAUCUCUAAUCUUUAAGCCACCAGUAUCCUGAUGGCUAAAAAAUACGGAUGGUCGAAAAAUUAGAGGUCUUUACUGUCAUAUUUGUUAGUUUGUUGAUGACAUUGUGAAAGUCAAUGUUCUAUAAAAUGUUCGAGCUUAGACCAACAUAAAUACACACACAUAAGUCAUUGACGUGCCCAUUCUUACUUGAUCAUACGUAUAAAUGGAAGAGACAUAUUAGUUCUCAAGCAUGCAUAAGCAUAAAUGUGCUUUUGUCUUGAGACCAAAACUCAAAAACACAUUUUUAUCUAUACAAAACCAAAAAAAAUCAUAAAAUACUGUUCUUGAUUUUCUAAAGGUUCAAGAAAAAGAACAAGUUUAUGCCAUGCAUGUUGAGAAUGUUGAUUUUAGUUUCAUUUACAUACAUGAUCAAGUAAAUAAAUUUAUAAGCGCAUGCUUAAGGUUUUCAAUUAUUAAAAGUGAAAUCGAAGUUCUCAAAAAUAGAUAUCCAAGAAGACUUAAAGCUUCUUGGAUAUUCAUUUUCGAAAAGAUUCAAAAUUUUUUAAAAAUGAAUAUUCAAGAAGUUUGAGUCUUUUUGAAAAUGAAUAUCCAAAAAUCUUUAAAGCUUCUAGGAUAUGGAUAUUCAAGAAUCCUUAAAACUUAUCGAAUAUCCAUUUUUAAGAAACCUUAAAGCUUAUCGAAUAUUCAUUUUUAAAAAAUUCAAUUUUAGAAAAUAAAGAGAGAAAAAUGAUAGGAAUGAAAAAUAAAAAGAGAGGGGUGACGGUGUAUUUAGUAGAAAUAAAAAUUAAGUUUUUGAAUUUGGUGUGUAUUUAGAAAUUGAGUGUAUAAAAUAGAAAUGGGGUGUAAAUAGAAUUUUUAGUUUUUUUAUCGUAGGUUUCAACUUUUUUUAAACAAUUUUUAUAAGACAUGUAAGCCACAUUUUUCUUUUUGUUUUAAGGUGUGGACUUUUUUUUUCAAUCAUUUUUUUUGUUUUUUUAAUUGGGGGGCUCACAUGAUUUUUUAAAAAAAUUCUUUUAAAAGAUGUGGGACUCAUUUUUUUAAAAAAUUUAUCUUCUGUUUUUUUUUUUUGAAAUUUUUUAUUAUAUUUAAUAUUUUAAAAAUUUUCGUGAGACUCACUUAUGCCAAUUUUUUCUACCCUUUUUAACUUUUUAAACAAAAUUUAUCUUUUUCAUUUUAAUUUUAUUUUCAUAAUAUGAAUUUUUGAUAAAAACUUAUCGUAAUUGACGUCACAUGCAAAAUAAAUUUCUUUAGAAAUGAUUAUAAUGUCCUUUUAAUUACUUCACUAUUGAGUUACAUGCAUUCAAAUUAAUUGUGAUGCAUCUUUUUCUAUGAUUAACUAAAUCUACAACCAUUAUUACGAAAAUACUCUCUUACCAAGAUUUGCCAAAAUGACUAUAAUACCUCUCCUACUAUAUUUAUGAAAAUUCUCAUAUUAUUGUCAAAAUACUAUAAUACCUUCUAACCAUAAUUAACAAAAAUAUUAUUUUAUCAUAAUUACGAAAAUACCUAUUAUAUUUUAAUGAGUUAGAAUUACUAUAAUACCCACUAACUAUAAUUACAAAAAAACCCAUUUUGAUUGCUCCAUAUAAUGCCUCUCCAAUCAUAAUUACAAAAAUACCAAUCAUAUUAUAAUUAAUCAAAAUUACUAUAAUACCCUUUAAGCAUAAGUAUGAAAAUACCUUUGAUUGUUUCAUAAUUAUGCAUUAAUUUUAACAUUCGUAUAAUAAUAUAAAAUUAAUCCUCUUAAAAAUAAUUAUAAUGCUUUUUAAUUACUUGACAAUUGAAUUACAUGUAUUGAAAUUCAUUAUAAUGCCCUUUUUCUAUAAUUAACUAAAAUAACUAUAAUAUCCCUCUUAAUAUAAUUACUAAAAUCCCCCUUUUAUUAUAAUUGCCAAUAUUACUCUAAUGGCCCUACAUCCAUAAUUACAUAAAUGCAUUCCUACCAUAAUUACAAAAAUACCUCUCAUAUAAUUUGCCAAAAUUACUAUAAUAUCAUCUAACCAUAAGUAUAAAAAUGCCCUUUAUUAUAAUUACAAAAAUAACACUUAUAUUAUAAUUGACUAAAAUUACUAUAAUAUCUUUUACCAUAAUUACAAAAUACCCUUUUGAUUGCUUUAUUAAUGCUUUUCCUACCAUAAUUACCAAAAUACCACUGAUAUUAAAAUUUGCCAAAAUUAAUAUAAUUACGAAAAUGCCUUCUAACUAUAAUUAUGAAAAUACCCUCUCAUAUUAUAAUUGGUUAAAAUUAUUAUAAUAUUCUUUAACCAUAAUUACAAAAAAAAAAAAAGAAAAACCCUUUUGGUUGCUUCAUAUAAUGAUUCUCUUACCAUAAUUAUGAAAAUACCCCUUAUAUUAUAAUUGAUCAAAUUACUAUAAUAUCCUCUAAGUAUAAUUAUGAAAAUAUCAUUUUUAUUAUUUCAUAGUUAUGCAUUAAUUUUACAUCCUGCAAUAAUAUGAAAUUAAUCCUUUUUAAAAUAAUCAUAAUACCCUUUUAAUCACUUAAUUAUUAAAUUACAUGCAUCCAAAUUGACUGUAACGCUCUUUUCUUAUGAUUAACUAAAUUAUUAUAAUUGCUCCUCUCAACAUAUUUACUAAGAUACCCUCUUAUCAUAAUUGGCUAAAGUUAAUAUAAUAUCCCAACAAUCAUAAUUACGAAAAUGACCUCCUACUAUCAUUUACCCAAAUUAUUAUAGUGUCUUUUUUAUCAUAAUUACGAAAAUACUCUUUAUAUUAUAAUUUACCAAAGUUACUAUGAAGCCUUUCUUACAUAAUUAUAAAAAUAUCAUUUUUAUUGUUUUAUAAUUACAUGUUAAAUUUGAAUAUACAUAUAAUUAUAUGAAAGUUAAUCUCAUUGAAAUGAUCAUAAUGCUUUCUAAUUAUGUGGACAUUUGAAUGAUAUACAUCCAAAUUGACUAUAAUACCCCUCAUAUAAUUAACUAAAAUUAUUAUAAUUCCCUCCUAACAUAAUUACUAAAAUACAUCUUUUACCAUAAUCAGUCAAAGUUAUUACAAUGCUUUGGCAAUCAUAAUUACAGAAAUGCCCUUCUAUACUAUUGGUCAAAAUUACUAUAAUACCCCUCCUAUCAAAUUAAAAUUAUUGAUUUUUUUCUUUAAAAAUUUAAGUUGAACGGGAGAGAUAUUAGUAGGCUUUGAUUCCAUGAAUAAACGGGUUUGAAUUUGAUAAUUGAUCAAUGUUGAUAAUAGAUAAAUAUUUAAUUGGUAGGUUAGAUUUUCAUGUAUAUAUUAUUGGGUUUUGAUUUAAUUUAUAUAAUUUUUUUAAAGUAAUCUUUUUUAUUUAAAAUAAAAAUUGAUAUCUGACAAUUACAAUUGAAUGAUACAGUUCGAGUAUCAUUUUUUUAUUUUUUUCAAAAGAUAAAAAUAAAAAAAAACCAAUAAAAUACUAAAAAAUAUUUAUUUUUAAUUAUUAAAUAAAUUUUGUAUAAUUUAUAUUUCAUUAAAAUAAAAAAAUUUGUAACGGGGCGUAGUAGGGUAGUUUUUCUAGUUAAUGUAAACUAAACUCAUUAGUGCAUUUUGUCAGGCAGGAAAUUUGAAAAAGGCCCCAGCUGUUGUUUGAUAUUAUGAUUGAGAAAGGGCUAACACCCGAUCUAGUUAUCUACAUAAUAAUGAUAAGUGGCUACUGUAAAGUGAAAUUUUUUGCAGGAAGCCUUGGAUCUUUUCAACAUUAUGAAGGAGAGAGGGAUUAAACCUGGUUUUAUCAGUUACGCGGUCUUGCUUAACAGCCAUGCAAAUAUAAAUUUGAGGUCGCUUUCUAGUCCUGAUGUGACACAAACAAAGACAAGACGAUAAUGGAUGCCUUCAAUUUUAUGGAAAGAAAUUGAAGCACCUGGGGGUAGAACCUGAUGUUGUUUGCUAUACUGUUUUGAUUGAUCAGUAGGGCAAACAACCUUCGGGAUACAAUUAGGAUGUUUGAUGAAAUGAUUGAUACAGGAUUGAAGCCUGAUAAUGUGACAUAUACAGCUCUUAUAUAUGGCUAUUGUAAAAGAGGAUAUGCAGAGAAGGCUGUAAUCCUUGUCAACGAAACGUCAAGUGGGGCAUACAGCCAGACACCUGUAUCAUGUCAGCUUUGCACCAUGGUAUAUUGAAAGGAUUAAACUUUUACAAACCCCUUAAAAUAAAUAUACAAAAAAAAUAAUUUUCACAAGAUUUUCCAAAGAGCAGCAGCACGUUCAGUUCUGAGUGAACUUGGAAUUGAUCCAACCCAAAGAGACGGUUUUUCAGUUUCUGACGCAUCUCCAGCAGUAUCUUUGGGUGGUUAUUUUCUUUUUCUGCAUUGCUCUUUUCUCAAACUCUGGGUUCAACAAGUGCCUGAUCCUUUCAUCAGAUCUAGCAGUCCAUUGCAGGACCAGAGAUCCUUAUUCUGGUAUGUCAAUUUCACCCGUAUCAAGUCCAUUGGCAACAGGAGAAGGGGAUUUGUUUUUGACCAAAACCAAGUUGAAACUCAUAAAACAGGGAGGAAGCCAGUCACCCACAUCUCGUCGAACAAACUGACAGGAUAGUGGUAGUAGGCCUAUCUUAUAGUCUUUUAAAUCAUGUUAUAAAUCAAUCACAUUGUUCAUGUAAUAGAUAAUAACCAAAUGUUAUGGAAGCCAUUUAUGAAUUCAAUUGGAUUAAUUGACAUUUUAUUAUUUUAUUAUGUUAUAUGUGGUGUUAUUUUAUCAGUAUUUUCUUCCUCAAUCGCCCCACUGCCCGCUCGCUGCAUGUUCUGUUUGGUUGCUAAAUCACCAUGAGUUUUUGCAACAAUCACCGCUGGAAGUAUUUAUUGUGUACAAGGUCAAUAGAUAUUACGCAACCAGCGGUAGGCAUAGGCAGUAGGCAAUAGGUAAUAGCAGCCCAAGUUGGUGACAUUUCAAGCUUACAGCUUCUAACACUAGAAUCUCUACUCUCACCUUAUUCAAAAGGGCAAAAGGGGUUAACGAAAUGAAGAUGCUGCCUCACUUUGACGACAUGAUAAUGUUAUGCUAAAACAACCAUGCUGUGAUUUAGAAAGUAAAUUCCAAUAAUUAGCGUUCAUCUUUCUAUAACUCAUGAAGUACCAUUCAAACAUAGAAAAACGCAAAUUAUCUUAAACUAUUUCACACAAAAUUGUCAUAUAGAGCAUUCCCUUUAUACUUCUCUCCACAUAAAGCAAAUAUCGACCAAAGCAUAGCUGAGAAGAAGCCCAUUUAAAACAUUAACGUCAAACUAUACCCAAAAACUCGAACCAUCGGAUAUUACAAAUUCCUUCAAGCAGCUUGUUUUGUUGACUCCAUAAGCUUUAUGAAUUCUCUAAAAGCUGUACCAAGAAAUAACUUGAUUUGAGCAAGAGAAAUCAUUUUAACAAACAUAGAAAUCUGCAAUCUGUCAAAAUUAGGCAUAGGAAAGAAAUUUUUACCUAAAUCUGAAUCAUGAGGUCCUGGCGAUGCUUCAGGAUGGUAUUGAAGAGACAUAAUAUUUAACGCAGGAUAAGCUAGACCAGCGCAGCUUCCAUCAUUAAGAUUAACAUGAGUCACUUCUACACCCUCAGGGAGUGAUGCAGGAUCAACUGCAUAGUUGUGAUUCUGCCAAUCAUAAAUUCUAAGGUGAAAACACAACCCCAAAGAAAUAUUGCAACUUCAAACACAUGGAAGCUGAAUACUUAGCAGAAAUAUAUCCAAACUUAUAAAUACUCCACAACAUUGUCAAAAAAUAUAUUGAUUAGAUCUGCAAUAUUCAAUGAAUAUAUCAAUUUUUUUUUUUAAUUUCUUUUGCGUGUGUGUGUGUUUUGUUAAGUGUGGGGGUUAAGUGGGGUUGAUCAUCCUAGGGGUGUAAUCGAGCCAAAUCAAGACAAUACAGUGAAAAACUCGAGCUUGAGCUCGACUCCUAACUCGCGACUCAAUACUCAGCUUGAACAUAAUCGAGUUUCAUUUUCCUAGCUUGAGCUUAAUUUACGAUUGAAAUCAAACUACUCGAACUCACUUGAUUAAGCUCGAUUAAUAUAUAAAAAUAAACUCGAUUCUUAUACUUGACAAAAGUUCGAUUCUCAAGAUCGAGAUCUUUUAUAACUAUUUUUUAUCAAACCUAAUAAAAAAUGCUUUAAAUAAUCCCCUGUCAUUUUUUUUUAGUUUAUUCAAGACAUUUUUUUGCCUUGAAUAAUUCCUUACAAAAAAUUGAAUGGGGUUAUUAAAUGUAUUUUUAGCCAAAAACCCCUUGAAUAAUCAUCUUCAAUUUUUAUAAGAGGAUUAUUUAAGAUGUUUUUAGCCAAAAACGCAUUGAAUAAUCUCAUUUAAUUUUUUAUUGCGAGUUAUUCAAAGCGUUUCUAGCAAAAAAUGCCUUUAAUAAUUUCCUUCAAUUUUUAUGAGAAGAUUAUUUAAAGUGUUUUUGACAAAAAAUGCAUUGAAUAAUCUCAUCAAAUUUUUUAGAAGGGAUUAUAUAUAUUUUUUGGGAUUAUUCAAGAUGUUUUUGGCCAAAAAUACCUUAAAUAAUCCCUUACAAAAAAUUGAAUGAGGUUAUUCAAGACAUUUCUGGCCAAAAACGCUUUGAAUAAUCCCCUUCAAUUAUUAUGAAAAGAUUAUUCAAGGCGUUUUUAGCAAAACAUGUCUUGAAUAAUCUCCUCUAAUUUUUUAUUAGGGAUUAUUCAAGAAAUUUUUGCUCAGAAAAUACCUAAGCAAAAACACCUUGAAUAAUCUCUUAUAAAAAAUUGAAUGGGAAUAUUUAAAGAAAAAAGAAAAGGGAUUAUUCAGGCGUUUUUUGCCAUAAUCCGCCAAUAAAAAAUUGAAUGGGAAAUAUUUCUCAAAAAAAAAAAAAGGAUUAUUUAAUAUAUAUUUUUUAUAAAAACCACUUGAAUAAUCCUUCAAUUUUUAUUAAGGAAUUAUUCAAGGCAUUUUUACUCAAAAUAACCUUGAAUAAUCCAUUAUAAAAUUUAAUGAAAAUAUUCUAAAAAAAAAAGAGGGAUUAUCAAGAGUUUGGCCAAAACACCUUGAAUAAUUCCUCAUAAAAAUUGAAAGGGAUUAUUUAAGUCCUUUUUUGCAAAAAAACGUAUAGAAAUAAUCCCUUACAAAAAAUUUAAAGGGGAUUAUUCAAGGUGUUUUAGUGCUAAAAACGCCUUAAAUAACUCUCUUCAAUUUUUGUAAGAGAUUAUUCAUUUUUGAUCAAAAAAACACCUUGAAUAACCCCAUCAAAUAUAUAUAAUAGAAAAACUUAUUAGAUUGCGAGCUAUUCAAACCGAGUACUAAUAUGCUCGAACUAGACUCAUUCGAUAAGUCGAGCUACUCGAGCUUUAGCUCGGCUCGAUAAUUAUCGAAUCAAAUUCAAAUUUUAAACGAAUCGAAUCCGAGUAGCUUGCGAGUACUAAUGUAUUAUUUACACCUUUAGGUCAUCCCAUCGUAAAAUCUAAAUCCAUGCUAACAACACUAUACUUGCAUACAAGGGAUGUAUCGGUUAGCGAAUUAUUCAAUGGAAACACAUUGGCUACUUAAACACACCUGAGCACUAAUCUCAACAUGACCAUUGCAAAGAUUGCGAACAGGAUGAUUUCCUCCAUGGUGACCAAACUUCAUCUUAAAGGUUUUACCACCCAAAGCCUGCCCAAGUAACUGAUGGCCCAUGCAAACUCCAAAAACAGGAACUUUUCCCAGAAUUUCCUUGACUGUUUCAACAGCAUAAGGAACAGCAGAUGGAUCUCCUGGACCAUUGCUUAAAAGAACUCCAUCUGGCUUCAGCUUAAGGGUUUCAGCUGCUGGCCAAGUGGACGGCACAACAGUGAUUUUACAGCCAUAAGAUGCUAAACGUCGAAGUAUAUUAUGCUUGAUCCCAAAAUCAUACGCAACAACCUUCAAUUUAAAAGAAAUGGAGAAAUGUAAGAGCAGACACAAAGCAAAGAUCUAAAAGCACCAACAUAAACUUCAAAAAUAUUUCUAACUGUGUAAGUCUCUUGAUCUCUUCCAUUAGAGUUGAACUCCCAUUCUGAUUUUUGUUUUAUCAACCCACUCAUAAGGGGCAUUGCAGGUAACGCCACUUAUUAAAUCAACACCUGCAAAAAUAAAGACAAGAAUAAUAGAGAUACAGUUAAUCUUAAACUUUUAAAAAUACUCGUAACUUUCAAAUAAGAUCCAACUAUUCUUACCUACAAUGUCCCAUGAACGUGACAUCUUCAAAAGUUCUUCAUCACUUCUAGAUUGUUCUGUGCUCAAAACUCCAAUAAGACUUCCAUCUUGCCUCAAUCUGCGGGUGAUUGCACGUGUGUCAACAUCAUCUGCCAUUAUAGGAAAGCAUCAAGAUACAAAGGAGGUCAGAAGCUAUGCCCAGAGAACAAACAAAUUUUUUAUGAGCAUGUUUUCUAAAGUUAAGCAGUCUACUAACUAGAUAUCCAGUGCCAUAUAUACAACUUACAAAUUCCCAUAAUAUUUCUUUCUGCUAAAUAAUAACUAAGUGUUUCUGCACAUCUCCAAUUCGAAGUACUGCAAAACAUUUAAUUAAAAUUUGAUAAAUAAAUGAGGAAACCUUUUGUUCCAAAGCUGUAAAUUGCAUAUCUAAGAUGUUAAAAGAGGAAAUUUACGAAAUACUUAGACUUCUGAUCACCAGACCAGCAAGAAAGCACUGCCUUGAUUCUUCAUCAUCUGAUGGGGUAGGCAUCAACAUCAGAUCAUAUAUAGUUUUCAACAAGUCAGCAUUGAAAUGAUCAAAAGAUAAAUUUCACUUACCAAAAAUUUACUCCGGUAUUGCCAAUAUGUGGAUUGGUCAUCAGGACAAACUGACCAGCAUAACUAGGGUCUGUUAAAAUUUCCUGAUAACUGCACAACAAUUGUAUUUUGGCCAUGAAUUAGACUAUGAAUACAGAAACUUCUUUUUCCAAAGUCAUAACAGGGAAGAAAGUCUACAAAUACACUGCAAAAGAAAUAAUAAGAGCAAAAACGAUCUUUUGAAGGCCAGCCCAAAUAAAAACAACAGUGAAUUAAAACAAGUCUGUAACUUCAAUGAUUCAAUUAUUAUGCAAACUCUAUAUAAUCUUACUGAAAAUAACUUCAAAUUCAAAAUUUUACUAAAACUUUAGAUUUAUCCAACCUCACCUUAUUUCGGGCAAUCCAUUGUUCAAUACCCCACAUUACGCAUCAGUAAAAAAUUUCUUUAAUUUAGUUAAAAUUCUAAAGAGAAACAGAAAUCCAGAAUACUAUAUCAUCUUACCCUGUUAAAGAAGUGUUAAAAACCACCUCGCCGACUUGGGUUCCAGAGGCACCAAAAGAUUUAGCCCUCCAAAUAGAACCAUCUUCAAGAGCCAGCCUAGCAUCCGCUACCUUCCAUGGCCUCUCCGCCAAUCCUUAAACCACCCAUCACCAAAGAUAUUUCCACAUUAUUUCAAAACUAUAUAGGAAAAAAGAAAGACAAAAUUUGGAAGGAAAAAGUGAAAAAGAGUUUACCAGUGGCGGCACCGUCAGAGGAGANNNNNNNNNNNNNNNNNNNNNNNNNNNNNNNNNNNNNNNNNNNNNNNNNNNNNNNNNNNNNNNNNNNNNNNNNNNNNNNNNNNNNNNNNNNNNNNNNNNNNNNNNNNNNNNNNNNNNNNNNNNNNNNNNNNNNNNNNNNNNNNNNNNNNNNNNNNNNNNNNNNNNNNNNNNNNNNNNNNNNNNNNNNNNNNNNNNNNNNNNNNNNNNNNNNNNNNNNNNNNNNNNNNNNNNNNNNNNNNNNNNNNNNNNNNNNNNNNNNNNNNNNNNNNNNNNNNNNNNNNNNNNNNNNNNNNNNNNNNNNNNNNNNNNNNNNNNNNNNNNNNNNNNNNNNNNNNNNNNNNNNNNNNNNNNNNNNNNNNNNNNNNNNNNNNNNNNNNNNNNNNNNNNNNNNNNNNNNNNNNNNNNNNNNNNNNNNNNNNNNNNNNNNNNNNNNNNNNNNNNNNNNNNNNNNNNNNNNNNNNNNNNNNNNNNNNNNNNNNNNNNNNNNNNNNNNNNNNNNNNNNNNNNNNNNNNNNNNNNNNNNNNNNNNNNNNNNNNNNNNNNNNNNNNNNNNNNNNNNNNNNNNNNNNNNNNNNNNNNNNNNNNNNNNNNNNNNNNNNNNNNNNNNNNNNNNNNNNNNNNNNNNNNNNNNNNNNNNNNNNNNNNNNNNNNNNNNNNNNNNNNNNNNNNNNNNNNNNNNNNNNNNNNNNNNNNNNNNNNNNNNNNNNNNNNNNNNNNNNNNNNNNNNNNNNNNNNNNNNNNNNNNNNNNNNNNNNNNNNNNNNNNNNNNNNNNNNNNNNNNNNNNNNNNNNNNNNNNNNNNNNNNNNNNNNNNNNNNNNNNNNNNNNNNNNNNNNNNNNNNNNNNNNNNNNNNNNNNNNNNNNNNNNNNNNNNNNNNNNNNNNNNNNNNNNNNNNNNNNNNNNNNNNNNNNNNNNNNNNNNNNNNNNNNNNNNNNNNNNNNNNNNNNNNNNNNNNNNNNNNNNNNNNNNNNNNNNNNNNNNNNNNNNNNNNNNNNNNNNNCUUUUUUUCAAAAACAAUCCAGCCAUUUUUCAAGGAAAAAGCUUUCAACAUUAAACAUCCUAAUCCUUUUUACCAUUUUGGCUUUACCAAUCUCUUCCAUUAAAAAAAAAAAUUCCUUUCACUAUAAUCUGAUCCUACCAUAUUCAUAGCCUCAAAACACAGCAAAAAUUAAAAGUAAAAAAGCUAUGAUUCCCAUUCGGCCACCUUCCCAUUAUUCACCAUUGACAAUCCACCCUCAAACACGUAAACUUCACUACUCUUGAACCUUCAACAAAAAAACCAAAAUUAAACUCGUCAUCGAGACCACCACUUUUAGCUACACCAACCACUAUCACCCUUAGCCAUCCCCCAACCCGAGAUAAACACCAUCAACCAUCCACCACCAUUUAACCUCUACUCAACACCCACCUCAAUUUCAAUCACUACCUGAAAGUUUUAACCAAAUACCCAUACUACCAUCAAUACGCAAAACCCAAAAAAAAAAAAAAACAAGAAAAAAUUAACCUCAUUUCCCAAAAAGGUAAGCCAUAGAAGAAACCAAAGAUACAAAAAAAAUUUUAGGGUGGAGGUUUUGGUUUUCUUGAGAUUAAUUAGGCUUUGGAGUUUUUUUUUUUUAAAAAAAAUUGGUUUGGAUUUGUAAAGAAAAAAAGGGAAACAAGGAAAGAUAAAAGGGGAGGCCAUCAACACCAUUAGAAAUAGCGGCGACUUAAAGAGAAUGACGAUGGCGACGAGCCUUCUGAGCAAUUUGAAACCAUGGUUUGGAAAGUCAUGGAAUUGAUAAAAACAUACUUUGGUUUUGGCUGGUUUAGGUGACAGCAAAGGUGUUUUCCAACCAUAAAAAGUUUUGACCUUCACACUCAGAUCGAGGAAAAUCUAGGGUGUUUUUGAAAAAUAUAUUUGGAGAUUUGAGAAGAAAAGGCCAAGAAAAAGCCAUGGUGAAAAUCCGGGAUUCAAAUGAUGCUGGCCAGCAUCGACAAUCGAUGAUGAUGGUGACAGUAAUGAUGGGCUAAUGCUAGAAACUGGGCAUGGCUAAAGGAAGCAUUUGGCUUGUGAUUUGUUUUUGAUGGAGAGAAAUUUUUUUUUAAACAAAGAAGGAAAAUGAAUUACAAAAAAAGAAUGAGUUUUUAUACUGAGUUUAAAAAAAAAAAAAAAAGACAAGCUAUUGGGUUAAACCCGAACCACGUAAAGUCAGACUUGAAACUCGUUGCCUGACCUGCUUUAAAUUUGACCCAAUUGACCUACUCAUCUAGUGGCCUACGCACAACUCAAGCUUUAUUUGGAUCUGAUCCAUACCUAUUAGACCCAUCACCGAAUAAGGCCAUAAACAAAGCCUAAGCCUCAACCCACUUACUUUGGACUCUUCCAUUAAAUUAGGUUUUGACCCAACUUAUGGUAAUUUAUUUUAAACUAAUUUAGUUACUCGUUGAUUUUUGUAUGCAUAUUUUAAUAGAUAUAUAUUUAAUUAUUUUAAAUCAUUGAUAAUAAAAAAUAAAAUUAGUAUUAUUAUCAUUUUUAAAAUAUAUUAAAUGACUAAGGUUAUAAUUUUAAUUUAACUUUGUGAAAUUAUAUUUAUAUAUGUAACGAAAUUAAAAUUAAAUAAAAGUCUUCGAAUAAUGAGAUUUCAAAAAGUCUGAGUAGUAAUUCUUGAUAAUUUCUUAAGUGAGAAGUUUUUAGAAAUUAUUAAAAUAAUGAAAUUUUUAGAAACUCUUUUCAAUACAAGAAUAUUUUUUCUUUUAAUUUAAAUAAUUUUCUUGUAAAAAUAUAAGAAUAUUUAUUAAAAAAAAAAAACGCAUCUUUUAGGAAAUAGAUUUAUUUAUGGAUAAUUAUAUUGUUGCAUAACUUUUCAAAUGAAAUAUUAAUAAUUAAUGAAGAUUUUUCCUAUGAUGAGAUACUAAAUAAGUUCAAGUAAUGAUUCUUCAGAAAUUUUUAGGUAAGAAAUUUAUCUAAAAUAUUACCAAUGUAUUGGAGUAUUUAGAAUAAUUUUUUAUAAAAAAUUUUUGUUUUUAAAAUAAAUAGAAUAAGAAAUAAAUUUUUUAGAAAAUAUUAUUUGGAUUAAAUUAUAGACAUCAUAUUUUAUUAUAUGCUUAGUAAAUAUAAAUAUUAUGAACCAUCAAGGAUGAGAUACUUGAAAAGUCUGAGUAGUGAGUUUUAAGAAAUCCUUAAGUGAGAAAAUUUCUCUUAACAUUGUCAGAGCAUUGGAAUAUUUUUAGAGAUUUUUCAAUAUACAAGGUUCUUAAUUUUUUAGCAAACAACUAAAAAUAAAAAUAUGUUUUUUUAUUACAAUAAAGAAAAUAAAGAAAAUUAAUUUUAAAUACCAAAAUUAAGAUAUUUUUAUUAAAAUUAAAGGAUAAUACAUAAUUAAUUAGUAUUGUUUUUUAUGGGCGCUAUGGGAGUACUAAUCCUUCCUCAUGAGUAAUUGACUUCCAAACUUAAAUUGUUUUCGCAAACCCAAAAAUUAGCAUUUUAAUAAAUUUUAAUUAAUUUUGAGAUUUUAUUAAAAAUGUAAGUUUUAAUAAGUAGCUAAUCACACCAAACUAAAAAAAAUUGAUAGUCACCUAACUGUUACCAUAAUCAUGAAAGGCAACAACCACAUGGCACCUUCUUUACAAAAAGUGGGAUGCAUGCAAAUAGAAACAUAAAUGAGUAGCGCUUCGAUUAACCAUUCGUGAAUAUAUCCGAUUUUUACUCGUUUAUAUUCAUUUAUUAAGUUUAACAAAUGAUCUUAAAUAGCAUUUUUAUAUUCAUUUAUUAAACCAACAAAACACAAAUAAAGAUCUAUUUAGUUCAUUUAUAUUCGUAAAUAAAUUCAUUUAAAAUUCAUUUAAAACUCAUUUCUUUUUAUUUGUUUAUUGUCCAUUUGUUGUUUGCUUAUAAUAACAAUAACAACAACAACAACAACAACAAUAAUAAUAAUAAUAAUAAUAAUAAUUUUACAUUUUUAUCUUUUAGCCUAAUCAUAUUUUAAGAUUUGUUUAGGUUUAUUUGUUUAAACUUAUUUGAUCAUGAUUUGUUUAUUUCUCAUGAACAUAUUCAUUUAUAUAUGUUCAUAAACAUAUUUGUUUAAUAGUCACGAACAAAUUCAUUUAAUUUAAUUAAACUGAAUACAAAUGAGAUAAUAUAUUUUAUAGUUUUCUAAAUUUACAACUUUCGGUUUUAACAUAUUUUUUUCAAUAUGUAAUGUAUAUAUAAUAUUGUAUUUAUAUAAUCAAAGUUGAAAUAUGACCCAUUGAAAAUUUUUUCUAGUUAUGCCGCUACAUGUAAGGGUAUAAACGAAUAGAAUAUGAAUGAACGAAUGUAUGUAUAUGGUUUGUUCAUUUAUUCCAAUUAGCAAAUCAAAUUAACAAUCAAUAAUCAAUCAAUAUGUUCUUUUAGAUAAAACCAACAUUUGAUGAAACUUGAACCUAAAGAUUCAAAGGUUUGAAGGCUUCCUCUUAUUGUUAAGAUAAGAUUUCAUUAACAAAUAAAUAAUAUUUUCAAUUAAGUAUAAGUUAAAAAAUUAUAUGUACAUUAGAUUAUUCUGCAGAUCUUAUGUACACACUACAAGAAAUUUGACAUAUAAUGAUGCUAAAAAAAGUAUUGAUAAAACUUCAAAAUCCGUCAAUAUAACACCACAAACCUUAUAUCGACGGUCAAAAUAUAUAUUCUAAUGAAUUUUUAAUCUUUAGUAUAUCCUUUAUCUGUAUAGACUUAUAUUGACAAUUUUUAAGAUAUCGAAAUAGCUUACAGAAAUGUGCAUAUGGUUUAAAACAGUCAAUAAAUGUAUAUUUAUUGGUAUAGCAUCUGUUGUAUGUUAAACCAUUAUAACUUUUAUCGACGGUUAACACCCUUCAGUAGAGACUUGUAUGUUUUAAUUUUUCUUACAUAUACCAGUAGUUAAUGCUCAUCAGUAUAGACUGUCAGUAUAGCCUGAAAUAUUUCAAUAGUAAAACAUGUUGAUAUAAAUUUUAAGGCAUCGAUAAAAUUUUUUUUUUGAAUUAUAUUUUCAAUUAUUAACAUUAAUUUAUUUAUAAUCAUAAUAUGAUAUGGUUUCAUAUAAAGUAAAAAUAAACAAAAAAGUAAAAAUAUUUAAUAACAUUUGAAAUAAAACAAUAACCAAAUUGUUUUAUAAUUCACAAAUUUAAAAUAAGUCAAGAACUAACAUCAUUAUACCAAAUCUAGUAAAAAAAAGAACACUAAUAUCUAUGAUUGAAUGUCUACAAACAUAGUGCUCGAAAUUUGCAUCAAAGAAUCCUCAUCGUGCUAUUACUAAUAGCUGAACCUCAAAUCCUUUAUAUAUAUUAUGAACAAUGUUUUGAAGAUUGUUCACAUCAGAUGCAUAUUGAUCCGCUGCAACUCUUGUUCCAAUGCCGAAGCCAUACAAUUCAUUUCUUGAUAAGCUAGAUUGUUAUUUAAGAAAUUCCUAUAAAAAUGAAAUAAGCAUUAAAAUUUCAAAAAGAAAGAUUUUUUUUCUAUGAUGUUUUUAUCCGAGAGGUCUAAGGAUAAGUUGCUUGCUAGAUUAAGAAAAGAACAUGUUUCAAUGUCACAUUUAUUAAGAGGCUACCAAUCCACAAUAGAACAGAUGAAGUUUUCAUUUGUUUUUCCUAUUAAAACUAUUUUAUUAACAAAAACAAUGUCGCUAAUAACAUUUUCAAGCCUUCUUUUACUUUUCGAUGUGAGAAAGACUAAGCCUUAAUUCAUUUAAUACAGCCAACAAUACAAAAAAAAGGCAUGUUCGAUGACAUAAACUUGAAAUGUAGAAAAUGAAAAAUACCUUUGAGAAAUGACAAGAGCCUUGAUGCUUCAACUUUGAUUCAGCUCUAAAAUAAAAUCGGUUUCGAUGGGUUUAAGUUUGUAGAGUGACAAGUGGAGAGAGUUGGUGGAAAGUGGAGAUUAAAUAUGUAGAGUCGAUGGGAAGUGAAGGUAAAUAAAAUGAUUUAAAUUCAUAAGCCCAUCAUUUUUUUUUUUUGGAUUAUUCAAAGCAUUUCUAGUAAAAAACAUCUUGAAUAAUCUGUUAACAAAAACAUUUGAGUAACUCAGUCGGUUAAAGUAUACGGCUAUUAACUAUAAGGUCAUAGGUGUAAUCCCUCCCUCUAGCAUUUUGAUGAUUUUUCAACCUUAUGGUUAAUAGCUGUAUGCUCUAACCAACUAAGUUACUCUAGUGUUUUUGUUAAUGGAUUAUUUAAGGCGUUAGGCAUUUUUGACCAAAAAUAUUUUGAAUAAUCCAUUUUAAUUUUUUGUAACGAAUUAUUCAAGCUAAAAAAGCCUUCAAUAAUCAUUUGAAAAACUCUUAAAAUGUUAGAAGAAAAGAUCGAACCUACGAUCUUAUGGUUAAUAGCUAUAUAUUCUAACCGACUAAGCUACUCUAGUAUUUUGUUAACAAAUUAUUCAAGGUGUUUUUGACAAAAAAUGCCUUGAAUAAUUUUCUUAUAAAAAUUGAAGGGGAUUAUUCAAGGCAUUUUUAACUAAAAAUGUCUUAAAUAAUCUUAUUCAAUUUUUGUAAGAGAUUAUUCAUAACAUUUCAAGCCAAAAAAGCCUACAAUAAUUCCUUAAAAAAUCCUCAAAACGCUAUAAGGAAUGAUUGAACCUACGACCUUAUGGUUAAUACCCAUAUACUCUAACCAAUUAAACUACUCAAGUGUUUUUGUUAAUAGAUUAUUCAAUUUUUUGUAAAGGAUUAUUCAAGAUGUUUCUAACCAAAAACGCUUUUAAUAAUCCUUUGUAAAAUUUUUUGUAUGGAUUAUUGAAAAUGUUUUUUUAUCAAAAACGCUUUCAAUAAUCCCUUUCUAAAAUUUUUUAAAUGGGUUAUUAAAGGCAUUUUUUACCAAAAAUGACUUUAAUAAUCUCAUUCAAUUUUUUGUAAGCUAAUAGUUUUUUUUAGCCUAUACUGACAGUUAUUUACGAUUACUUUAAUAAUCAUCAAUAUAUAACAUAUUUAUAUUGACGAAUAGUCAUAUACCAUCAAAAAAAAUUUAUUUAUACCGACGGUUAAAUAAAAUAUUGAUAUAAGUAUGGUAUAUUUUAACGGUAUUAAAAAUUCAUCAGUAAAAGUCUCUUUUACUAACGAAAAUUAAUCGUCAGUAAAUAAUCCAUACAAAAAAAUUUUUGUAUAGAUUAUUGAAGUUUUUUUUAGUCGAAAAUGCCUUCAAUAAUCCAUCUCUAAAAUUUUUUGAAUGGAUUAUUGAAGGCGUUUUCGAUCAAAAAUGCCUUCAAUAGUCUCAUUCAAUUUUUUGCAAGCUAAUAAUUUUUUUUUUUUUGUUUUGAGCCUAUACUGACAGUUAUGUUAAUAACAGUUAGUAUAUAAUAUAUCUAUACUGACAGAUAAUCACAUACUGUUAUAAAAAGUUUAUUUAUACCAACGGUUAAACAAAAUAUUUGUAUAAGUAUGGUAUAAGUAUGGUAUUCUAAUAGUAUUAAAAAUUCAUCCAUAAAAGUCUCUUUUACUAACAGAAUUUGAUCAUUAAUAUAACCAAACAUCAAUAUACAAAAAAUUUUUUUAUAAUAAUAGCGAGAGCUUUAUGUAUCAAUAUACCUUUUUUAUAAUAUAUUUGAAAAUAUGACAUAUUUCACAUUUUAAUCAUAUGUUCUUAUUAAUAAUCAAUUUGUAUCAAAUAAAAAAAAUUAUAAUCACAUAUAUAAUAUAACAUAAAUACAAGAGUUUUUAACCUUUUCUCUUCUUUUAGAUUUUUAUUAAAAUGUUGUUCAAUAUUAGUAAAUUAUACAAAAAUUUAUUAAAACACUCGUAGUAAAUUAAAAUUUUAAAAAUUUGAGUCGAUCAAUUCACCCAUAUUUUAUAUGUGGCUAUGCCACUGGAUGCAUGGUUUCUAUUGGAUAAGAAAGCCUAGUGAAUUUCAUAAAGUCAGUGGAGAAACUAUAUGGUUGUUAUAAUCCCACAUAAAAAAAUAUAUAUACUAUAUGGUAUAAACCACCAAGAAUAUGCUCAACUAUAAUUCAUUAAAAAUAAAACUAAUCAUAAAUCUUAGAAUUUAAUUCAAUUAAUUAGUUCAUGCAAUUAUUUUUAAAAGUAGUAUUUAGCAUUUAGCAUAUUUGAUUUUUGAAUCUCAACAUUUAUAAUCCCUUUUUUUUAUUUUCAAACUCUAAUCUUCUUUAUAAAAACUUAAAAAAAAAAAAAAAAAAAACCCUUAUCAUAAGGCUCAAAAUGGAAAUUCAAACCCCUAACUUUCCCUUUAUAUAAAUUCCAUGCUCCAACUACCUUCAAGAAGAAUUACCCAUCUGAACCUCACAACUCACCCAGCCAAACCAUGUCCAUUUUCAUAUCCACUCAACUUCUUCAAGGUUUGCUUGGAGAAUUCCACUCUAGAAGGUUGCUGCUGCAUACCCCAUCUUUUCCAACCCUAACUACAGCAGCUUCUACAAACCCUGAAAACAACCUCAAUUCUUCAGAUCCUUACACUGGUAAUAGCGGCUUCGAUACAAACAUUGUUAUGGUUCUGUCGGUCCUCUUGUGUGCCCUAAUUUGCUCACUAGCACUGAAUUUCAUUAUUAGGUGUACAUUAAGGUGCUCAAGUUUGGUAGCCUCAGAAUCCCUCGCCAGCAGCUCAGCUCGGUUAGCAAACACAGGGGUCAAGCGAAAAGCCUUAAAGACCUUUCCAACAGUAAACUACUCUGUUGACUUGAAGCUGCCUGGCUUAGACUCCGAGUGUGUAAUAUGUCUAUCAGAUUUCACACCUGGUGACCGCGUGCGGCUUCUACCAAAGUGCAACCAUGGAUUCCAUGUUCGUUGCAUCGAUAAGUGGCUGAGCUGCCACUCGUCUUGCCCUAAAUGCAGGCACUGCCUCAUCGAGACAUGCCAAAAGAUUGUUGGCGGCAGUAGGCAGGCUAGGUCAUCAGAACCUCCUCCAGUGCAGGAAACCAUUGUGACCAUAGCACCGGUAGAUCCUGAAGGUUUGAUACAUAGCUAUAGGUAGUCAAAGCUAGAAUUCAGCUCUGUACCUUGAAAAUUAGCAUCAGAAAGGUCAGCAGCCAGAACACCAUACAAAACCAAGUGUAAAGUUAAAGUUGUAAAUUUGUGCACGGUUUGAAAUUUGUUACUACUUGUUUUUAUCUUUUUUCCUUAGCCUUCUUAUGAAAAACACUUCACAACUUAAAACAGAACAUAAUGAAAAUUUUCAGACGAAAGGGCGAGCAACAUAGUUUAGAUUAAUUUCUUUUAAAAUAGUAAUUAGUAGCAUGAACAAAGGACGAAGCAAGUCAAAGAUUUGUGGUAGCUGACUAUACCUUACCGAAAAUGAAAAUCACUUAAACCAGCAAGUCCUGAAGAGGCACAACCAAUCAGCUUAAUUAAACAAAUUUCUUAAUUUUUAAUAUGAAAAUUAAAGAAAUGGCCUCAUUUUAAUAAGAAUGGUUUUCAAACCAGGUUCAAAUAUAUUAGUAGUAGUAAAUCAUAAAGAGCAGGACCAUCACACAGCAUUCUCAUAAGAAAAUAUGAAUGAAAAUUCAUUCAUAUAAUUAUUUUAAGUAGUGACAUUUAUCAGAUUUAGGAUUUAAAUCCCACUGUCUGCUACAUUUUUUCUUAUCUCACUCUAUAACCCCCUUUAUAUGUAUAUAUAUAUAUAAAAAAAAAAAAAAAAAAGGAAUUGGUGUGUUAACAUCUUUUUAAAAACCAACAUUCAAUUCUCCUCAAAGCUCUUAGUUAAGAAUAUUGUUACUUUGUCUGAAAGUUAUGUGAAUGUUCACAAAUAACAUAAAUACAAUAAGUAACAAACACGUCACGGAAAAAUAUUAGAUUCCUAAUUGUACUUAUCAGAAUUUAUUAUAAUCUUAAAUAUAAAAAAACUCAUGAACAUUUAUUUUCUGUGAGUUGUAUUAAUUAAAGAGAAUAUCAAAGUGUCUGAUGGUUUGGACUACUCGCAAAAAAUAAAUGUUCAUAAAUGUAUUAAUUUAUUUUGUUUACGUUAUUUGUGAUGAUUUGCCGACUUAUGACAAUCAAGCACGUCAACCUAGAAUAUAAUAGUACCAAAGAAAAUUAUUGAGAUAACGCCAUCUCAAUCAAAUCCCACAAAAUUCGAUUCUAAACAUAUAAAGGAAAUUUGACUUAUUUCAAAUACCAUGCAGAGAGGAUGAACACUUUCCCAUGGAGACCCAGAUGUAACCUACCUUGACAAGAAAGAAACCAUAUUUAAAACACAAUAUCUUGAACCAAUGAUGGAGCAGAAAAUCAAUGGAAGCUGAAGGUGAAUCCACUAAUAUACUUUCAAAUCAGAAUAAUUUUUACCAAAAGGUGCAAUUUGUUUCUUAGUACUCACAUGAACCAUUUCGUAGAGGGAGCUGACUAAUAACCACACUAUCCCGGCCACCAGAAUUUGAUUUGUCGAGGCUUAUUGGCAUGAAUUAUAGUUUGAGAAGGUGGGCAAUUGAUGGCAAAGUAGAGCAUUAGCAUUGAAGGUUCUUACGACUGCAAUGCUGUGAGUGAUAAAUCGAUAUUUCCAGAUUCCAAUACCUCUAGAACUGGGCUCAAUAAAGAACACUCCAGCAUAAGAGGAGAUCCUAAUAAAUUAGGGAAACCAAUUGUUGCUAAUCACACAGUGGACCCUGGCUACCAAGAAAAUUGGUGCGUCAUGACAACCAAAGCUCAUAGCAAUCCGGGGUGGAGCUAUACGGGGCUUGGUGGCCUAAAACAAUUUUGAAAUUGUGUGUGUGUUUUAGAUAAAAUUUAAAAAGUCAUCAUUUUUCUAAUUUAUUUAUUGUUGAGACUAGCUUUGAUUCUAUCAAUUAUCAUUAUUACAAUAAAAAAAUAUAUAAAUUUUCAAGGAUAAACGUUUUGAAAUUUUGUAUACUUACUAAUUUAUUUGUUGUUGAAAUUCUGUGUUUUACAUAAAAUUUAAAAAGUUUUAAAAGUUUUCAUUUUCUAAUUUAUUUGUUGUUGAAACAAGCUUUGAUUCUAUCAGUUAUCAUUAUUACAGUAAAAAAGUAUAAAUUUUCAAUGAUAAACAUUUUGAAAAUUUGUUUACUUACUAAUUUAUUUGUUGUUGAUGCUGGCAUUGGUUCUACCAGUUAUCAUUUUCAAUGAUAUACAUUUUGAAACUUGUUUACAUUCUAAUUCAUUUGUGGUUGAAAUUAGCAUAGGUUCCAUCUUAGAAAGCAUUUUCAACAAUAAACAUAUUGAAGAUUCGUUUCUGUAACCGAAUGAAAAAUCACUAAUCGAAUGAUAACUUAGUUUGUAUAUUAUUAGUAAUAAAGUUAUUAUUUAAUGUUUUUAAAAUAUUAAAUUGCCUAAAGAAUAAUAAUAAAUUUUUUAAAAAAGUUUAAUGUUUAUUAUUAUUAUUGUAUAAUUUAAUUUAUUUAAACUAAAUCUCACAAAAUCAAACUUUUAGCUCCCACUUCAUCAGAAAAAAAAAAAAAAGAAAAGAAAGGGACAGUUGUAUGUACUAAUUAUCAUGUUGAACAUCAUCUCAACUGAAAAAGAAAUAUUCGGUAUCAAACUGAUUGAAAGAAAAAAAGGAAGAAGAUAUCCACAUAUCCGCACGGCACCAUGCCUUGUCGGACAACCAUUAGACAGGCACAUUGCAUUUCUCAGAUUUUUCCAAAUUUUGAAAGAUGGGUUAUUUGGACUCUUCCCAGGACUGCUCUGAUGCAUAUUGGACAGCCCAUGAACAGUAGAGUGACACGUCUACUUGUUCCGUUCUUUAUUUCUAACAGUUCUAACAGAAAGAAUAAGAUUACGUAAAAAAUUAUUUUUAAAAAUAAUUUUUGAAAAUUAUUUAUAUUUUUUUAUUUGAAAAAAAAAUUAUUUGGAUGGGUUAAUAAAAAAUAUUUUUUGUUGUUUGAUUUUUUGAAAAAAUUUAAUUUUUUUCAAAUAAUAUUAAUAUAACUAUUAAAAUAUUAAAAUUAUUUAUUAUUAAAAUAUAUUAAAAUUAUUUAUUAUUAAAAUUAUUAAUAUUAAAAAAUAAUUAUAUUUAAUAAUAAUAUUUAAUAUUAAAAUAUUAUGUUAAUAUAAAAAAUACUUAAAAUAAAGUUAUUUUUUAUUCUUUAUAUUAUUUAUUAAUAUAUUAAUAUAUUAUUUAUUAAUAUACUAUUAUAAUAUUUAUUAAAUUAAUUAAUAAUAUUGAUUACUAUAUUAUUUAUUAAAAUAUAAUUUUAUUAAUAUAAUAUAUAAUUUUAUUAAUAUAAUAUUAUUUAUUUAUAUAAUAUUAUUUAUAAGUAAUAUUAUGAUCAUUGGUAAAUAAUUUACUUAUAAACAAUUUUUUUCGAAAAGUAAAAAGUCAAAUUAUACUAAAAAAUCGGAGUUUGAGUAAUGAAGGGGGUAUGGAUGAAAGAAGAAUUAAAGGGUGAUUCGACUUUGAAGUUAAACGACAGUGUUUCAGGUGAGAUAAGCAUAUAUUUGUUAUUUUUUUUAGCAUUUUCUGGUAAUUUUAAGGGAGGAUUGCAGGGGAAGGGUAAAGGGGCGAAGUGAAGGAAGUAGAGGGUGAGAAGAAGGAGAAGGAGAAGAAGAAGAAGCAGAGGAAGAAAGGGAGAAACAAAUUUUUUUCUUUUUCUUGGGAGGAAAAAGAAAGUAUACAAGGAAAGAGAGAUUUUGAUGAGAUUUUCUUGGGAUUCUUUUAAAAAAGGAGGGGGGUGGUGGUGGGGUUUGGAACUUAUUAGAUUGACAUUUUUUGAAAAGCCAUGAUGUCAUGAGAAAAGAGGGUGACCCAUACGUCCAUUUCGAGUACUAUUUGGAUGGCUAAAAAAUAAGAAGCUUUUGAUCAAAAUAAAUAUCAUGAAAAGUAAAUGAAUUUAUUUGUUUAAAUUCGUAUUAUAAAUAAAAGGAGGAAAAACUCAAGUGUUGAUGUGUUUAGUUCAUUCAUUCAGCAUUUUUGCUUUUAAUUUGAGUAAUCUUUUUAUUUAUCUUUUUGUUUUUAAAUUUGAAAAAAAAUUCUUGUUAAAUAAAUGAUUUUUUUUCUUGCAACGAAAUGUGGAUAAUACUUUUAGGUAAGGUUUGUUAUAUUUUAUAAAAUCAAUAUGAUAAUAUAACUACUAGUUUUAUUACCAAAAUAAUUUUAUCAUUUAUGAUUUAAAAUCAUUUUAUUUGAUUAAUAAUGAUUAAUUCUUAAAAAUUAAAGAUCAUGUUUGAUAUUAUUAAAAAUUAAAUAUUAUUUUAUUUAAAAGUAUAAAAAUAACUAUACAUAUUGUAAUAAUUACAUAAAUUAAUAAUUUUUUGGUUGUUUAAAAAUAAUAAUUUGUAAGAUAUUAGUAAUAUUUAUUUAUUUUAUAAUAAAAUAUAAUUAAAUUAAUAAAUAUAUUUAUUGAUAGGUAAUUUUAUUUUUAUAAUAUAAAUUAUGAAAAAAAUAUUUAAAAUAGAAAACAAAACUAAUCUAUCAAAUUCAUAAUAAAAAAGAAAAACUUAUAUUAUAUAAAUAUUAAAAAGUGAAAAAUAUAUAUACAAAUCAUUUUGAACUUGUUAUAUAAAUAUUAAUUUAAAAUUUUAAAUUUUAUAAUAUAAAAUAAUUACAAUUUUAAGAUAUAACAAGAUUUUUAUUUAUAUAUUAAAUUAGUAUAAUUGAUUAUUGUUAAUUUUAUACAUCAUUUUAUUUUAAUGAUAAAAAUUUUUUAUCUUCUUGAUUGGAAAGUAAAUCACCUUCUAAAUUAAUGAUCUAAUCAUUUUUUAUGAUCUAAAAUUACCAUCAUUAUAUAAAAUUAUCAAGUAUUUAUCAAACAUAUUAAUCUAAUUAUUAUAUGUGAAUUAUCAUAAUUUUUAAAAUAAUCAUUCUAUACCAAACUCUGUCUUAAUAUUUGAUUAAACAAAACCCAUCGACUUAAAUUUAGAAUGACAACAAACAAAGCUUUUGGUUUUACAAUGAUUGCCUUUGUACUUAUCCUUUUUAUUUAUCUAUCUAUUUAUAUAUUCAUAUUUUAGUGGAUCAUUUUAGAGAUAUCAAUGAGACGGAUAAACCAUUCCUCAUAUCCAUCAUCGAUUAUAUAAUUUUGUUCUCAUCUCCAAAAUUUUAAUAUACCCUCUUUCCAUUCCCAUCAAUGUGUACGGGGAUCUAACGAAUAUGAGAAAUCCUUGUACUCAUGUUCUUUAAAGAAAAAAAAAACCUAUGAAACCAAAUACAAUACAUGCAUUAAUACAAAUACAAAUUUAAAUAACAAAAAAUCACUUAAAAGCUAAUUAAUCUAAAAUAAAAUUAUAUUAUUAAAUUAAAAAUUUAUUUACUAUAUAAAUAUAUUAGAUAAGAAAUGUGAAAUUAUCUGUCUUUAUUCUCUUAUCUAACAGUUAUUUUAAAAUCAUGUUUAUUUCUAAAAUUUAAUACUCAUACUUAUCUUUAUUUGAAUAAAAAAAAUUAAAUUCUCUAUGAAAUUUAGAUAAAAUUAAUAUUUCUAGAUAAAAUCUCUAUGAAAUGAUAACUUAGUUGUGUAUAUUAAUGUUAACAAAGUUAUUGUUUAAUAUUUUUAAAAUAUUAAAUUGCCUAAAGCAUAAUGAUAAAUUUUUUCAAAAAAAUUUAAUGUUUAUUAGUAUUAUUAUUAUUGUUAUUAUUAUAUAAUUUAAUUUAUUUAAACUAAAUCUCACAAAAUCAAAUUUUUAGCUCCCACUUCAUCAGAAAAAAAAAAAAAAAGGGACAGUUGUAUUUUCUAAUUAUCAUGUUGAACAUUAUCCCAACUGAAAAAGAAAUAUUCGGUAUCAAACUGAUUGAAAGAAAAAGAAAAGCAAGACGACAUCCACAUAUCCGCACGGCACCAUGCCCUGUCGGACAACCAUUAGACAGGCACAUUGCAUUUCUCAGAUUUAUCCAAAUUUUGAAAGAUGGGUUAUUUGGACUCUUUCCAGGACUGCUCUGAUGCAUAUUGGACAGCCCAUGAACACUAGAGUGACACGUCUACCUGUUCCCUUCUUUAUUUCUAACAGUUCUAACAGAAAGAAUAAGAUUACGUAAAAAAUUAUUUUUAAAAAUUAUUUUUGAAAAUUAUUUAUAUUUUUUUAUUUGAAAAAAAAAAUUUAUUUGGAUGGAUUAAUAAAAAAAUUGUUUGUUGUUUGAUUUUUUUAAAAAAAUUUAAUUUUUUUCAAAUAAUAUUAAUAUAACUAUUAAAAUAUUAAAAAUUAUUUAUUAUUAAAAUUAUUAAUAUUAAAAAUAAUUAUAUUUUAAUAAUAAUAUUUAAUAUUAAAAUAUUAUGUUAAUAUAAAAAAAUACUUAAAAUGAAGUUAUUUAUUAUUCUUUAUAUUAUUUAUUAAUAUAAUAUUAUAAUAUUCAAUUAAUUAAUAAUAUUUAUUAUUAUAUUAUUUAUUAAUAUAUGAUUUUAUUAAUAUAAUAUAAUAUUAUUUAUAUAAUAUUAUUUAUAAGUAAAUUAUGCUAAAAAAUAUUGAUAAAUAAUUUACUUAUAAACAAUUCUUUUCGAAAAGUAAAAAGUCAAAUUAUACUAAAAAAUCGGAGUUUGAGUAAUGAAGGGGGUAUGGAUGAAAGAAGAGUAAAAGGGUGAUUCGACUUUGAAGUUAAACGACAGUGUUUCAGGUGAGAUAAGCAUAUAUUUUUUAUUUCUUUUAGCAUUUUCUGGUAAUUUUAAGGGAGGAUUGCAGGGGAAGGGUAAAGGGAGGAAGAGAAGGAAGUAGAGGGUGAGAAGAAGAGAAGGAGGAGAAGAAGAAGAAGCAGAGGAAGAAAGGGAGAAACAAAUUUUUUUCUUUUUCUUGGAAGGAAAAAGAAAGUAUACAAGGAAAGAGAGAUUUUGAUGAGAUUUUCUUGGGAUUGUUCAGAAAGAUUUAAAAAAGGAGGGGGGUGGUGGGGUUUGGAACUUAUUAGAUUGAUAUUUUAUUGUUAAUUUUAUACAUUAUUUUAUUUUAAUGAUAAAAUUUUUUUAUCUUUUUGAUUGGAAAGUAAAUCAUCUUCUAAAUUUUUGAUUUAAUCACUUUUUAUGAUUUAAAAUUAUCAUCAUUAUAUAAAAUUAUCAAAUAUUUAUCAAACAUAAUAAUCUAAUUAUUAUAUGUGAAUUAUCAUAAUUUUUAAUUAUCGUAAUUUUUAAAAUAAUCAUCUUAUACCAAUCUCUGUCUUAAUAUUUGUUUAAACAAAACCCAUCUACUUAAAUUUAAAAUGACAACAAACAAAGCUUUUGGUUUUACAAUGAUUUCCUUUGUACUUAUCCUUUUUAUUUAUCUAUCUAUUUAUAUAUUCAUAUUUUAGUGGACCAUUUUAGAGAUAUCAAUGAGACGGAUAAAGCAUUCCUCAUAUCCAUCAUCGAUUAUAUAAUUUUUUUCUCAUGUCCAAAUUUUUAAUAUACCCUCGUUCCAUUCCCAUCAAUGUGUACGGGGAUCUAACGAAUAUGAGAAAUCCUUAAACUCAUGUUCUUUUUAAAAAAAAAAAAAAAACCUACUAAACCAAAUACAAUACAUGCAUUAAUACUAAUACAAAUACAAAUCUAAAUAACAAAAAAUCACUUAAAAGCUAAUUAAUCUAAAAUAAAAUUAUAUUAUUAAAUAAAAAAAUUUAUUUACUAUAUAAAUAUAUUAGAUAAAAAUGUGAAAUUGUCCGUCUCUAUUCUCUUAUCUAAUAGUUAUUUUAAAAUCAUGUUUAUCUUCAAAAUUUAAUACCCAUACUUAUCUUUAUUUGAAUAAAAAAAAUUAAAUUCUCUAUAAAAUUUAGAUAAAAUUAACAUUUCUAGACCACCUGCGUUAUUUUCACUACCUUUGAAAGUUUGAUCUUGCCAUUGGAUUGGGUGAUAAUAUGAUAUUGUGGAUUUAUUGUAGAUAGAUAAUAUGACCCUGCUUAAUGGUUUGAAUUUAUAUGAAUGGUUUUUUUUUUUUUUUUUAUAGAUAGAUUCUGAGCAUAAUUUGCCAAGUUUAACUUAAUCUAAUGUUUCAUUUCCAUAGUUUCUAUAGGUUUUUUUCAAAAGUGAAUAAUGACACUUUUUUUGGUUUUCCACAAAAAUAAUAUACUUUAUUUUCAUAAAAAUCUAAUACUACCGUGUAAUUUGCUCUAGCCCCUAAUCUAAUUGCUCAAAUCAUUUUUGAAUCUGGUUUGUACGCUGAAAGCCUGGAGAGCGAAGGCCCAUGUGUAAGAAAAAGGCCUUUUCUUAAACCCUUCGAAAACCAAGGCCCCUGCCGCUGCCCUCCAUUUUUGUUUGAGAAGGGGGAGAAUGGCGGGGCCGGCUUUGGGUGAGAGAUGAAAGAGAAAUUGAUCACUACACUGCAAGCGGCCUCAAACACGUAGAUGAAAAGAGAAAAAAAAAAAUUUCAGAGGGGACUCUGAUGUCCGAGUUUCUCAAUUGAUUAUUGUUUUCAAUCUGAAUUUCGAAGCCUGGUCGUGUUUCUUCUUCGCUUUCUCUCCAUCAGCAUGGCCUUCCCUUAAUUCCUCCUCCCUGUGCCUUGUGAUGUUUGCUUUCUUCACGGCUUUAAAAUUUCAUUAAUUAUAAUAAAAUAUUUAAUAUAAUAUUAAAUUUUAAAAAAAUUUAAUAAAUAUCUAAAUUAAAUAUAUAUCAACUAAAAUAAUAUUUAAAAAAUUAUUUUUCGUCAUCAUUUAAAAUUAAUGUCACUCUGUAUUACAUUAAUUACAUAUUUAUAAUUUAUCUAUUAUAAUUAUAAAAUUUAAAUAUUAUAUUAAAUAUUUUUUAUAAUUUAAAGUCAUUCAUGACAUUAAAUUUUUUUAAAAAAAAUCUUUGUCUGACUUUACUUGUCAAGCAAACCCUUAAUAGCUGACUCGUAAUAUUAAUAAAUGUUUCCUUUCGUGUCAGUAGAUAUUAUAAGAUAUAUCUUACAAAAGUGAAUAAGCAUGUUUUAUCUACAUAGCUGUAGUAGGCCCCCACCAAGCUCAAUGUCUCGAUCCACUUUACCUAUAAUGGACUUCCGUCAGGUUCUUUCCAUACUUUUGCUAAAUGCAUACGAGGACGUAAGUGACUUCUGGGAGGUUAUGAUUUUCCAGUCUGAUCUUUUUUUGUCAGUAAGUGUUUCUGUUUUAGCAAAAGUAGUAAUUAAUUAUACAAAGGAAUGAAAACAUGUUAGAUUGCUCAUUAACAUUACUGACAAGCUUACUAUUCUUCCUUCCUAAUUGUAUCAUGCCAUAGAGGCAUUGACACAUCUAAAACAGAAUCAAGCAACCUCUAUCAAACCCUGCUUCAGCAUCUUUUAUCGAUUAAGUGAUGUUAGCUGGUGUUUUUAACCCAAUUUUCAGAAACACAUGGUUACAAGCACUUUGGUGACAAUGGAAGGCCAAGCUGUGCCCGGUCUGCUACCAAAUCAAGCCUCCGAACUCAUUGGAUUGGAGUUCUGGAUGUUAUACUUUACAUAGCAGCGGGUGUAAUCAACCUAAUGAAAAUUGUCUCAGAGUUUAAUAAUAGCAGGUAUGAACUCUCAGCAUGCAUUUGUUGUUCCGUUUUUGGUAAUUAAUUUAAAUCAUAUUCAUUGUUUCAAUUCUGAUAAUUUUGCUAUAUUAUUUGGUUCCAUGCCUCUUUUAUUAUUAGCCUUUCCAUCACAUAGGAAAAGGAAUUCACUGGAUAUGCAACUUGUCAUGGAGUACUAUUCACGUAUACAAUGAGGAUGCAUUGUCAAUAAAGCAUUCUCUCCUGCAUCUCUAAUAGCUAAUUUGGCUAGAUAUAUGAGUAAAACUGUCAGUUGCUUUGUUAAAAUUAACCAAAAAACUGGCACUGAAAGUUUAAGUGGUCAAUAAUCUUCAAAAUAACCCCAUGAUGAUGGUUUCUUUCAACUGGAAACUGAACCUACCAACAGCCACCAAUGAAUUUUCUCAACAAUCAUCCAGUUAUUGUACAAUCUGAUUUCAGUUGCUACAUUCCUUUCAGUAUGGUGUGAGCUUGUGUCUGUAAAGUGUUGUGCACUGCUCUUCAUUCCACCAAGAAACUAUUUGCAUCUGAUGUCGCUGUUUGGAAACUUGGUGCUGUACUUUCCGCCACUCCAUCACAAUUGACUUUACAAAAUCCCUCCAUUAUAAAAUUGCCAAAGAACCCUACCUUCACUCACAUUGCGUUCCAACCUCCAUAUUGCUUCCACAGAUUCACUCAUAAGUCAUACCGCCACCAACAAACUCUACCAACCUCAAUUGUAUUUUAUACUUACUUUCAUGUUGAGCCAUACUGCCAUAUUCCCAGAUGUCAUAGUCAGACCCCCACUUGGAGUAACUUAGCUUCUUCUAAUGAAAAGGUAGACGGAAAAGUCACGCCUUAGCCUCUCCUCCCGCCUCAACUGCAGUCAUACAAAAUGGUAAAAGUACUCCCAUUCCUUUCUAGCAAAACAGCAUGAUGCCACCCAUGGGAGGGAAUUAUUCAAGAUAGCUAAUUGGCCAAACAACAGAUCUCUUCUGGCUUCGGGGGUUCCGCAUGAACUUUGGACUAUAAGGAAAGCUAUUCAAAUCGGGCAGAACUAUGACCAUCUGGAUUAACAAAUUGUUUAUACGCUAAAAGUCUACUGUUGAUCAGAUUAUGAGAUCUCUCCAGCUUGAGCUUUCAGCUACCUACUAAUUCGUAAGGCUGUAUGCAACAUCAUGUAGUUUGGGUUCUCUAUUGCUUUUGCACCAAGGCAAAAGGAGUGAAAAAAAUAUUAUUUUAAUUGCGAUUCUAUUGGUGUCUCUUGUAUGUUCGUCUUCACAAUGUAUUGUAUAUCUGCAUCCAAAUGCCUAGGGCAGUAAGAGACCUUGAUAUUUGAUUUUAAAAGGGUCGAUUAAAAUUAUAUAUAUUUUAUUUAUUAUAUUACUUAAAAUUGAAAGUAAGUGUUAGAUAUGAAUAUAUAUAUCCAAUACGGAUAUGUUCAUUUUUUAAAAGUUUUUUAUAUAUUUGAACUAUCCGACUUACAUACUAACAUUUAAAAUAAAAAACGUAAUGUAUAUUAAAAUUUUAUUUUCAAAAUUUUGAAAUUUUAACAAAGAUUGUAAACAUUGUAAAAUGUUGCUACUCAUAAAAAUUUAAAAUAAAACGUAAAAUAUUUUUACUAAAUAUUAUUACAUAUAAAAUUUAAAAUAUAUUUACUUAAUAUUAUUACUUAUAAAAUUUAUUUUGAGGCUCCGCCCACUAUAGCAAAAUGACAUAUUAGCAACAGUUUUGUAACGGCAGUUUUGUAGCGGCCUUUCACUUACAAACGUCACUAACUUUCGUGUUUUUACAAAAUUUUAGGCGUUUAUUAUCCAAACGCUACUAAAUAUUCAAAUAGCGACAUUGUUAUUUAUAAACGCCACCCAAUACUUGAUAUUAUAGGCACUUUUCGACUAAAACGCCUUGAAUAUCUUUUAUUAAAAGUUUCAGUGAAUAGUUAAAAUGUAUUUUUAGCAUACAACACUUUCAAUAAUCACGUCAUAAAAAAUUGUAUGAGAUUAAUGAAGACGUUGUCUACAAGAAACGCCUUUAAUAUUUAGACUAAAAAUUUUUCCAGGCUCAUUAAAUUUAUUUUCUUCAAAAACUCAUCCAAUAUUAAGCUUAUCAAAUUAUUUGGAUCAUUCGGAUGUUUACCAUAAGAUUGUUGGUUCGAUCUAUCCUUUAGCCUUUUUUUGGGUUUAGGCACAGAUUAUUUGUUAGUGAUUAUUCUAGGUGUUUUCUUGGCAUAAAUGCCUUCACCAAUUGCUUUAAAAAAUUUAUCAUAGAAUAUUGAAGGCGUUUUUCGUAGAGAGACGCCUUUAAUAAUCGAUAGAAAAAAUAUGGGGUUGAUUAUUGAAGGCGUUUUUGAUCGAACUCGCAUUUUAUAAUCCAAUCAGUAAAUUUUUUUUUCGAAUUUUUAAAGGUGGUUUUGUAAUAAACGCCUUCAAUAUUUCAUAGACAAAACUUGGAUGGGAUAGUUGAAGGUAUUUUUGGCUCAAAACGCCUUUAAUAUUCCUAGAGAUAAUUUUUAAUGGUCGGAUUAUUGAAGGCAACUAUAUCCAAAAAUGCCUUCAUAAACAUUUUGUUUAGAUUAUUGAAGGCGUUACCCGUAAGAAAACGCCCUUGAUAAUCCAUUCAAUUAAUUUUUAGUUGGUAUUAUUGAAGGUGUUUUUUGUCCAAAAUGCCUUUAAUAUUUCAGACAAUAAUUUUCUAGGGGAAAUAUUGAAGAUGAUUUUAGUAAAAAAUGCCUUUAAUGUUUUCUGUAAGAGUGAAUGAAGGUGUUUUCUUGCUAAAAAUACCUUCAUUAAUCACAUCAAAAAAACAUAAUUGAUACUUUAUAUAUGAAGUCAGUUGUAAGUUUAUGCCCAGAAAAACGUUUGCUGUCAGUUGUAUAUUUAUGCCUAGAAAAUAUUUAGUUUAUAUAUCUGAUACUAUGAAUUACAUUUUAGAAUUUGCAUAAUGAACAUUGUUGUAUUUCAAAAAAUUUACUACACAUCUGAAAUUAAAACUGAUAACGUUGCUAUAUUAAUAAACUUUUCUGAAAUAAUCGUACUCAGUAAUUUAAUAAAUACACAUAGUGUAUUCAUAUUAAGUAUAACAAUAAUAUUAAAGCAAUACCACCAAUGUACAAACUUAAAGUUUCCAUUCAAUAUUGCAUGUUAAAAACAUUAUAACAAUUUGUUCCAUAUAUAUUUAUAAUCAACCAACAAUGUCUAACCUGAAAGUUUAUCAACAUUGACAAAUGACAAUACAUAAUCACAUCAUUCUUUACGGACUUCAUCCAGCUCCUCUUCCGUGAAGCUUUCUUUACUCUCCCACUAAAAAAAAUCAAAAGUAAAUGUUAAGAAAUUAUAACAUAAUGUACCAUUUUAUUUUUUUGAAUAUAUAAUGAGUUUAUGAAAUUUAUACUAACCUUGAAUGGUGUGGUCAUAAAAUCAUGUAACACUAUCUCCCGCAUAAAGCAAAAGACAUAAUAUUCACAUUCAGUAUUACCGGGUUGACGAGGUACCUUAAAAUUAAAUUGAGUCGAUUUAAAAAAUAGUUAUCUACACAAACUCAGCAUUAAAAUAAUAAAUUUGACAUUUACCGAUAAUGACACCAAUUUCGGUUUCUUUAUCUUCUUAUUGAAUGCAGAUAUUAUCUAAAAUUGAUAAGAAAAAAAUUAGUGGGAACAUAAAUAAAAUUUCUUAUGAAAAAAUAGAACAUAUAUAAUAUAAUAAAGUAUUGUAACACCUUUUUAUAAAAGUUUCAAUAUCGGGGUUAGGCAUCGUUGUUGGAUUAACUGAAUUAAAAAAAUAUGACGUUAAGGAUUUGGUGUUAAUCACAAUAAACACUCAAUGACGACUGCAAAAUAAUAACAAUGAUAUACUUAGAAUAAGCAUCAGAUCAUAGAAUGAAGCAGGUUGGAGUAAUUAAGGUUGGAAUAUAGCUUAUUGCGCAUUAUACGGGAGCAAAUAAUAAUCAGCCAGUCUUUUCAUGCAUUUCAGUCUUUUCAUGUAUUGGAUCACAUGAUUAGCACGAUACACGACUGUGCCACUCUGCUCACUAAUAAAGUUGGAGUCAAUAAAUCUAAAUCUGUUCGUCAACUGUCUCCUCUUUAGCUUUCGAUAUAAGAAGCUACAUGAUAACAAUCAACAUUGCUGGUUCGUAUUACACCCUAAUACUAACUUACUACAUAUUGAAUAUGCAUAUUUGUAUUUAUAAGCUAACCUCAUAAGUAACGAUUUCAACAGCUGAUAAUUCAUCAAUUUCAUAAAAUUCUUUCACCUCAUCCACACCAAUGAAAGAAAAUUAUUGUUUAUCAAACAAGUCUUCCUCAGACUCAAUGGAUAUGAAGUUUCCACCGAUACAAUUCUCUAACAAAUAUUUUGUUAACUCAUCUAUGGAAGCCUGGGCAAAGGUCAGACAUUGAGUAUGAACAUCCUUUUACAAUAUUUAAUGAAAUAUAAGCAUUAAAACGAAAUCAAUCAAUAUAAUAAACAAAUUAAUAUUCAAAUUAUAAACAAUAUCAUACUUCUUGGGUGGUAACGAAUGAUGGGAUGGCUUCCUUACUUGCAACGACAACUUUUCGCACGGAGACGAUAUUAUCAAGCUGAGGUACUAGCAUUACCUAUUGCAUUGCUGCCAACAUGGACUCCAAAGUAGCGAGUCUUUGCAGUUGGUCAUUGAGGUAUUGCUCCUGAUUAUUAAUUUAUUGAUGUUGCUGCGAACUUAUUACUUCAUAUUGUGCAUUUCUCAUUCGUGGGAUUUUUGGUUGUUUACCAAAAUAAGUAGAUGGCAAGACAAAUUUACUAACCCCAUGAAUUUGAUCAGGCUUUUCUUUAGCAUCUAAUGCUAAAGAUAAAAUAUCUUCAUCAUACCGGGUUGCCAGUUCACUAGAUUUUACUUUGGUAGCAUAGUUAUCUUAAAAGAUAAUAAUAAGUUAGGCUGUUAGAACAAAUCUACACAAGCUAGUAUACACUAAUGCAUACAACCACAAUGCCAAUCAUACAUUAUAUCAAAAAAAUAGUUACACAUAAAAUCUUUUUUGCCAAUUCCUCGGUUGCUUCAUCUGCGAAUGAUCCAUUUUUCUAUAGAUGUCCUUGUUUUCAAACAUCCCAUCUGAAAAUUUCUGUGUUUGAGCUCACUGAUUCCUAUUAAAUUAUCACAAUGAAAAAAUCAGAAUAUAUGAAAUGAAUGUUCAUGAAUAUUCAUUAAUGAGUAUAAAAUAAGUGUGCGAAGAUAUACAAGCUUAUACUUCACAAUUGCAUAUCCUUUUCUUGCUGUCUGAUGGUGAUAUUGUUGUUUGGCCUAAAUGUCUCGAUGUUGUUCUUUGAUUUUCUACAAAAUUAAGAAAUUAUGUCAAUCACAUAUGAAGAUCAAAUGCUAUAUUGCUUCAAAACUUAUAAACUUGGACUAAUUUGGUAAUGGAUUUGCAUACCAAGAAAUCUUUUGAAAGUCGAGAUUGAAUAAAAUUUAUCCAAUCUUCCACACUUAUGACAUAUACAUAUGACAUAGGUAGAACAGCCAAAACAUCACCUCACCAGCCAUCGGUAAAAUAUAUUGGGUUAUAAAUCUGCUUUUAAACUCUCUUAAAGCUUUCUCAACAGAUUGUAAUACAAUAUUUUUACACUCAAUUGAGACGUCGAACCGUUCCUAAAUAACUUAACACAAAUAGUAUCAACACAUUGAAUUUCAUUUAAAUGACCAUAUAACAAAUUUUAUGAAAUAGUUGAAUAAACAUAUCACAACGAACUAUCAUAUCUCAUCCUUUAGAUCAUCAGAAACUCAUCGUCAAUUGAUAUAUGUAAUUGAAAUCUUUCGAUGGACGAUGGCUCUAAUAUGAGUAGCCAUCUUAGCAGCUCCUUCCGACACAGGUUACCCACUUUGAUUGAAGUCAACAUGAAUUUUUGUGUCAGUCACUUUGAUUUGUUUAUUUGAGCCCCUUUCUUUUCUUUUUUGGCUUGUAUUUCUUUCUUUUGCAUGUUCAUUAGAAGGAGAAUGAUGUUGUUUGGAGUCCAUAUUACUUGUAAUAUUGAUCAUAAUUAUACGAAUUGCACAAUAUGACCCUCUAAAUUAAUCAUUGUACUUACUUUAAUACAACCAAUACUAUACUAUGUAUAGAAACAGCAUUUAGCACACCAUUCAGCAAAUCACUCAGAAACACCAUUCAGUAAAAUAACAUCAGACAACAAGUUCAACAAACCAUUCAGCAUGAAAUAUUAUUCAGACCCCCAAUAUCAUAUAAUAUCAUUCGACAAUACAAUAUCAGUCAACAAGAUUCAACAAACCAUAAUAUUUAAUGCGUACUACAUAAAAAUAGCAUACUUGCAAUAUGAAUAGAAUCUUGGAUGACUAUGCUGACGGUGAUGUUAAUGAAAAUAUAUAAACGCAUAUGCCAAUAUUAAGGAACUAAAAAAAUAAAAAUUCUCUAUUGAAGGCGUAAAUAAUACAGUAAACUAAAAAAAAAAAAAACUUGUCGAUUAAAAUAGAGGUUCGCAGUGGUGAUUUGUUGAAAGUCGGAGGUGAAGAAUGGGAGAAAGAAAGCAAUGGUCUGCUAGAAAUAUGUUUAAGGGUUUGGUUUGUUUGGUUGAAUAACGUAACUUUUAAUCGUUUUGUGUACUAGGCCUCUGUAAAUUCCUAUGUUCAAGGUAGAGAAAUGAAUAUAAAAUUAAUUAAUAAAGGCAUUUCCAUGGAACAACACCUUCAAUAAUCACUUAAAAAUUUUAUUGGAUAUUAUUGAAGGCGUUUCUUACAAAAAAAAAGACUCAUUUAAUUAUAAGCCUUUAAAAUUGUCCACCCAACUUAUUAAAGGCAUUUUUUAUAAAAAAAAAAAAAUGUCUUUUCUAAUUCUUAAAAAUUAUAAAAGGCAUUUUUAGUAAAAAAUCACCUUCAAUAAGUAUGGAUUUUCAAAGUUUAUAACAAAUUAUUGAAGGUGACUUAUAAUAAAAUAUGCUUUUAAUAAUCCAAAAAAAUUUUUUUGACAAAUUAUUGAAGGCAAUGUUAUCUGAAAUCACCUUCAGUAAUUAUAUACAAACUGUGAUAGAAAUUAUUAAAGGUAUCUAUCUUAAAUAUACACCUUCAAUAACAAUAUUACAAUUUGUGUGACGGUAUAUAGAAGGUAUUUUACAUUAGAAGACACCUUUAAUAAUUUUUAAAAUAUUUAGUGGAAAAAUUUUGAAGAUGUCUGUUAUUAACAAACGCCUUCAGUAAUUGAAGGUACCUUUUUUAAUAAACACAUUUCAUUACCAUCGUGAUAUAUCAAAGGUGUAUUAUAAUAAAAGACGCCUUUAAUAAUCCGAAAAAAUUUUAUUAGGAAAAUUAUUGAAGACGUUGUUAUCUAAAACUGCCUUCAGUAAUUAUAUACAAACUGUGAUAAAAAUUAUUAAAGGUGUCUAUCUUAAAUAUACGCCUUAAAUAAUAGUGUUACAAUUUAUGUGACGGUUUAUAGAAGGUAUUUUACAGUAAAAAAUACCUUUAAUAAUUCUCAAAAUAUUUAGUGAAAAAAUUUUAAAGGUGUCUGUUAUUAACAAACGCCUUCAGUAAUUGAAGGUAUUUUUUUUUAAUAAACGCCUUCCAUUACCAUCGCGGUAUAUCGAAGGUGCUUUACAAUAAAAGAUGCUUUUGAUAAUCCAAAAAAAUUUUAUUAAGAAAAUUAUUGAAGGCGUUAUCUGAAAUCACCUUCAGUAAUUAUAUACAAACUGUGAUAAAAAUUAUUAAAGGCAUCUAUCUUAAAUAUACACCUUCAAUAACAGUGUUACAAUUUGUGUGGCAGUAUAUAUAAUGUAUUUUACAGUAAAAGACGCCUUUAAUAAUUUUCAAAAUAUUUAGUGAGAAAAUUUUGAAGGCGUCUGUUACUAACAAACGCCUUCAGUAAUUGAAGGCGCCUUUUCUAAUAAACACCUUUCAUUAUCAUUGUGGUAUAUUGAAGAGGUUUUAUAAUAAAAGAUGCCUUUAAUAAUCUAAAAAAAAUUUAUUAGGAAAAUUAUUGAAGGCGUUGUUUUCUAAAACCACCUUCAGUAAAUAUAUACAAACUGUGAUAAAAAUUAUUAAAGGCGUUUAUCUUAAAUAUACGCCUUCAAUAACAAUGUUACAAUUUGUGUGACGGUAUAUAAAAGGUAUUUUACAGUAAAAAACGCAUUAAUAAUUCUCAAAAUAUUUAGUAAAAAAAUUUUAAAGGCGUUUGUUACUAACAAACACCUUCAAUAAUGGAUUACUAAGUUUAAAGGUAUAUUGAAGGCACCUGUUCAAAUAAACGCCUUUCAUUACCAUCAUGGUAUAUUGAAGGUGUGUCAUAAUAAAAGACGCCUUCAAUAAUCUAAGAAAAAUUUUUUAGUGAAAUUAUUGAAGGCGUUAUUUUCUGCAACCGCCUUCAGUAAUUAACUACAAACUAUGAUAGGAAUUAUUAAAGGCGUCUUUCUUAGAUAUAUGCCUUCAAUAACAGUGUUAGAAUUUAUAUGGCGAUAUGUUCAAGGUGUCUAUAAUAUAUUCAAAAAAUAUUUACGAGGUAAUUAUUCUUGACGUUUUUUGUUAAUAAACGCCAUCCAUAAUCUUGUCUAAUAAAAAUCUUUCCAAACUUAGCACAUCCAAUCACCAACUUUAAGCUUCAUCUUCAUUAUUAUAUCUUUUCAAACCAAGUACAAUUUACUUUUCAUUUCCUUUCGCUUUUAGUAUUCAAGCAUUGUCUUUUAGAACCUUAUUUCGACUAUUCAUAACUUAUUGACUUUAGCUUUUACUUUAUUCGACUAUUCUUUCAGCUCUUGCAAUUCAUGAUUUUUUUUUUUUGUGAAAAAAAUUUUCUACAAAACCCACUUUAUUUUACCUUAUGUCAACCCUAACUACAAAUACUCUUGGGUACUGUCUACGUUAGCAACAGAGUUUUAACAAGUGUAAUAUUUGGUAGCUGAUAAAUUACUUUACACCAAGGAGUUCUAGUUUUGUGUAAGUAUUAUUCUUGUUAUUAUCUUUUGUUUAAAACAUAGUAAACUAUGCAAUUACACAUGUUCAUUUUCAUAUUAAUUAUUUAUGUAUAUUUGGUCUGAUAAUGUAGCAACUAAUAAAUGGAUAAGAGUUGGAUACAAAAGUCUAGAUUAAGUCAAGAGUAUAGAGAUGGAGUGAAAAAUUUUUUUAAUUUUACAUUUGAGAAUACAAGUGAAGAUAAUAUGAUAUUAUGCCCAUGCGUGAAAUGUACUAAUAUCGAGUGACAAAUGAGUCAAGUUGUUUAUAAGCAUUUAAUUUAUAUUAGAUUUUUAUCUGAAUAUGUUAAUUGGUAUUUUUAUAGAGAGUCUGUACUGUCAAGGUCUUCCACUAUAGUUUCUUUAACAUCAAAGGCUCUUCAUCACCAACAUGAUCUUUUUAUAGCAUAUGACAUUGAAGGCAUAUUGCGAAAUACUUUUAACAUUCAUAACCAAAAUUUUCGUAAUCUUUCUCUCCAAAAUGAAGGAUUUAAUCAGUCCAAUAAUGAAAUGCAUGAAUUUGGUGAACCUGGGAUAGGUGUAUGUGACUAACAACCUAGAUGAGAAGCAUCAAAGUUUUAUAGGUUGCUUGAGAAAAUGAAUGAAAAACUUUUUGAAGGAUCGAAGCAUUCAAGGUUAUCUUUCUGUGUUCAUCUUUUUCACUUAAAAUGCUUAUGUGGAUGGACAAAAAACUCUCUGACUUUAUUAUUACAGUUUAUGAAAGAAAUGUUUCUUUUUAUAAAAAUUCAUGAAUCUUGUAAGAAAUCAAAGAAUAUGAUCAAGGAUUUAGGUCUUAGAUAUGAGAAAAUUCAUAGUUAUCCCAAUUAUUGCAUGUUGUAUUGGGGGAUAGAAAAAAUAAAAAAUCUUAUCAUUUGUGUGGUAUUUCUCAUUAGGUCAACAAAAACUUCCAUGAAAGGUUGAAUGAUUAUGGUGAUGAGGUAUGUGUCAAAAAUAAGCCUAUUAAAAUUUUACGCUAUUUUUCAUUGAUACUAAGACUUCAAUAACUCUACAUGUCUUCCAGAACUACAGAUUCAAUGAGGUGGCAUCAUGAUUUACGGAUGGAUGAUGGAUCAUUGAGGCAUUUUGCAGAUUUUUUGGUAUGAAAGUCAUUUCAUUCUAGGUUUUCAAACUUUGAAAUUGAUCCUCAAAAUGUUAUGCUUGGACUGACAUCUGAUGGAUUCAACCCAUUCCAAAUGAUAAGUAUUUCUUAUAAUACUUGACCAAUUGUAUUGAUUACUUAUAAUUUGUCAUCAUGGAUUGCUAUGAAGUAACAGUCAUUUAUAUUGUCUAUGAUAAUUUUCAAGAAAAAAAGUUUGGAUAAUGAUAUAAACAUCUACUUACAACCUCUUAUUAAAAAUUGAAAGCAAUUAUGAGAAUAAAUUGAGACCUAUGAUGCAUCAAAAGUGAAGAACUUCAAUCUGCGUGCUACUUUAUUAUGGACUAUCAACGAUUUUUUUACUUAUGCGAAUUUAUUUGGUUGGAAUACAAAAGGUCGUUAUGCUUGUUUAUGUUGUACUACACAGACAUGUUCAAUGUGGUUAUUAAUGAUAGAAAGUUUGGUUAUAUGGGACAUCAUUGAUGGUUAGAUGGUAAUCAUCAAUUUAGAUUUCAAAAAUAUCUCUUUGAUAAAAUUGAAGAGUUGAAGAGAUUGUCUUUACCCAUUAGUGGGUCUACUAUCUUGUCAAAGUUAAAAGAUAUAAAUUUCACAUAUGAAAAAAUGACUUCAUCAAGAAAAAGAGUGAGAAAAUUUUUGAAGGUAUCUGGCCUCGUAUUACGUAAGUUGGUGAUAGUCAUACAGAAGUUGGUGAUCUUGAUGUUCAAAGUGAUGAAGAGGACGAUGAAGUAGAUAACCCCAAUGAGUAUGAGUUGUGAAAAAAAAGUAUAUUUUUUGAGUUACCUUAUUGGAAAUAUAAUUUAUUACACUAUAACCUUAAUUUGAUACACAUAGAGAAAAAUAUUUACGAAAAUUUUAUUGGGACAAUUUUUAAUAUGAAUAGAAGAUCCAAAGAUGACUUAAAGAGUUGGUUUGACCUAAUUAAUAAGGGGAUUCCUAGACCUCCAUCCGAUGUUACUUUCUAAUGGUAAAUAUCGAUUGCCUACUACUUGUUUUGGGAUUUCUAAAGCUGAAAAAGAUGUGUUUUGUAAAGUUUUAAAAAAUGUCAAAGUUUCGGAUGACUAUGCGUCAAAUAUAUCAAGAUGUGUGAAUAUGAAGAAGUGAAAACUUUCUUCAUUGAAGUCAAAUGAUUAUCACAUUUUGAUGCAAGACUUACUUUUAAUUGUUUUACGCUUAUUAAUGUCAAAGCAAGUGACUUCUGUGAUAAUUGAAUUAAGUAACAUAUUAAAAUCUCUAUGUUAAAAAUGUAUGAAUGUGGAAGAGCAUGACAAAGUUCAAGAUCGAGCCGCGAUUACUUUAUACCAUUUAAAGAAGUUAUUCACUCUAAACUUUUUCAUUAUUAUGAUGCAUUUGGUUAUCCACAUUCUAUAUGAAGCAAAGGUCGGUGGGUCGAUUUAUUAUCGAUAGAUGUAUCCUAUUGAAAUGUAUUAUUUGUUAAUAGAUUGAUUACAUUUUUAUUGAUUAUCAAGCCAAUUUACUUAAAAUAACAUAUGACUUAUGUUUUAUGCUAUAGGUUUUUGGGGAGAUUAAAGUCUUAUUGUCACAACAAACGCUAUUCAGAAGGUUUUAUUGCUAAAAGAUAUUUAGCAUAAGAGUGUAUGACAUUUUGUUGUCAUUAUUUAGAAGAUGUUGAAACGAGAUUUAAUAGAUCUUUGAGAAAUAUUGGUAUGCAGCAUACAGACUUGGCCUACAAUUAUCUUUUUCAAAGUUUUAGACAACCCAUAAGCAAAGUUGAAUUGGUGGAGUUAGAUGAUAAAUCUUGGGCACAAGCACAUUGAUAUGUUCUUUUUCAUCAUGACUCAAUUGAAUUGUUUCGCACGUAAGUUGUUUAGCAAGGAAAUUAUUCAUUACAUUAGGCAUAAUUUUUUGUGUUUUUUUUUUAGUGUUAAUACUUUAUCAUGAUACUUUAUAAUGAGUAUAAAAAUAAUUUAAGAGAUCCAGCACAUUAUCAACGAUCAAACUCUCGAGAGGUUGAUAAGUUGUUCGCUAAAAACUUUCAUGAAUGGCUAGGAGCAACUGUAAGUAAUGCCAUACUUUUCAUUAUUUUUUAUCUACAUAAAAUGCUUACGGUAAAAAUAACAUUAAUAACAUAUAUAUAUUUAUUCCAUUUUUAUAAGUUUGGAGUAGAAUGCUUGUUAGUAAAGAGGUGAAAUGUCUUUUACACAAUCUGAAUCAGAUUGUGAAACAAUACAAAGGUUUCAUCAUCAAUGGAUUUAGAUUUCACACAAAAUCCUGUGAGAGAUUUAAAAGUACACAAAAUUUAAGAGUUGUUGUGACUUCAUCAACUACUAGCUAUGCUAGUGCUAGGGACACAAACCCUUUAGAGGAAAAUGUUGACUAUUAUAGCAUGAUUAAUGACAUCAUUUAGUUAAUUAUUAUGACAAAUGAAAAGUUAUCUUAUUUCGGUGUGAUUGGGCAUAUGUGAAUAGUGCAAAAAGUCUUAAGAAAGAUUAGUAUGGAUUUAUACUUGUGAAUUUUUCUCGAUUAAUUCACACUGGACAACAACUCAUCGAUGAACCUUAUAUAUUUUCAUCUCAAGUCAAACAAGUAUUUUACUCUGAAGAUCUCAAAAAAUUGGGUUGGUUUGUUGUUCUUCGAAACACACCUAGAGAUUUAUUUGAUAUGGGGUUAAAUACCAAAAAUGAUGUUGAACAUGGAACUGAAUAUUAUUCUUUUGCUGAACAAAACUUGGAUGAGAAUAUCUUCAGUACCUAUGCUCAGUGGGUCCGCGAAGAUGUUACUGAAGACAUUUACAAACCUUGAUUCUGUGCACCUAUAAUUUGUAAGUCGAGUGUUUAAGAAAUAAUGUAGUAAAUAAUAGUAUGUAAAUAAUGUCACAUUCGCUAUUGUAUAAUUAUUGUCUUCUAAAUCAUACAUUAUAUUUUGAUUUAAUUAAAUCGAUAUGUUCUUUAUAUGUCGUAGGUUUUGAUUUCUUAAGUUGAAAAUGUCUUUAUAUAUCUUCUGAACAAAAAUUUUUUCUAUAUUCGUUUUUAUGAUAUAGGUAAGCUACAAUACAAAGAAGUAAGUUGAAAAGAAAACAUAUCAGAGAUAUUAGUUCAGAAUCGUCUGUGGGACCUGUAGAUAUUGGUUAUGGACUGAAUCCUUUGAAGGUAAAUGAAUGUACUGUCAGAUCUAAUUUCGUCACUUCUAACCCUUCGACCAAUAUUGGAUCAACAAUAUGGGAGGUCUAGGUUUAGAUAGUAUCCCAUCAAUUGAUUAUGCUUUAAAUUCGAAUGCAGGUAUGAUAUACUCCAAUUUAGAAUUCGAGUAUAAUGAUAAAAGUAUUAUGAUUUUACAAAUAUAUUAUAUAUUUGUUGCAAUUGAUAACAAUGGUCAACAGAAGAUCAGAGGUCGGACAACUUUGAAGGAAUUUUCUGCACUAUCUCCCAACGAGCAUAUUGUAGUGUCUAUAAACUCUGAUAGGCAACCAAUUGAUGAAGAGGCUCAACUAUUGGCUGAAUUUCUAGGCAUGCUAGCCCAUAAUGGAAUGAAAUUGCCUAUUCAUUAUGAAACAUGGCAUAAUAUUUCAAAAAAAGUUAAGGUCGAUACGUUAAACUUUAUUGAGGUAUUAGUAUAAUUAAUUAGAUAUAUUCAAAUUUUUUAUUUUACAUUUUGUUUACUUAUUCAAACUUUUCUUAUUGUAUUAUUACAGUCAAGAUUUGUACUUGAAAUACCAACUUCAUAUGUGCUUAAGUCAUUGGAAAAGAAAUGGAAAGAUUAUAAGCAUAGUUUGAAGAAUAAAUAUUUCGAUUGAAAUAGUACUGUAAAGGCAAUGAUGUAAAAUCUAUCCAUUAAUGUGAUUAGGUGGCAGUAUGAACAACUGAUUAGAUUUUGAUUCUAAAAAAAAAGAGAGGUACUAGUUUAUAACUUUGUAUAAUAAAAUGAAAUGAUAAAAGUGUUUGAUGGUUUCAGUUGGUAAUAUUUGUAUUUUUAUCAUAUAAGCAAUUAUUUUUUAUGACAGAAAAGAGAACAGAUUGGGAUUGGUAGCAGAAAGCAACAAAAAUAUAGCCAUACAAGUGGAUCAAAAAGUUUUGCAAGAAAGCAAAAAGAAAUUGUAAGUUUAUGAUAAUUAACUUAUUCUAAUGAAUGAACUUUUUCUGUCAUUGAAAGGUAAAUAUAGAAAUUAACAUUUAUUGUUCUGUUUUAAUAGAUUUAAUUAUUUCAAUACAUGAUAUUAAACUUACCAAAAUUUUGAAUUUAGUUACACAGAUGAUAUGUAUGAAAAGUUAUUGUUUACAUAUAUUUACGCCUUUAUUAUUUGGUUGUUGUUAUUGUUGAUUUUUAACAGUUUUGAUAGAUUCAAUACUUGAUAUUAAGCUUGUCCGAUUGAUUGACCUUAGUUUCAAUAGUUGAUAUGGGAGAAAAAGUUGUCAGUUAUGUCUGUUUGGAAAUAUUUGUACAUAUAAAAGGCAAAUAUACAAAUAAAUUUUGGAUGCCUUUCAACAUAUUGAAUGGCUUCAAUCCUUCAUUUUAAAUCGAAAGAAAAUAAUUAAAUUUGGUUUCCAUGAUCGAUAUGUGUGAAAGUCCAAAAUACUUUUAUUCUUUGCAUAUAUUUAAGACUAUUGUGUUGUUACAGGACCAAAAUAUAAAUAAAGGAGAUUAAAGUUAUUCGAAAUUUUAAUACUUGAUUGACAGGAUUGAUAUGCAUAAAUAAGUUACGAUUGAUAUAUAUCCUAUCAAAUAACAUGUUUUUGUAUAGGAGAAUGAGAUGGGCAGUACAAUUGGACGUGUGAAACUUUUUUGCCUAACACACAAAAAAAAUGAAUCUUACAUGAAUGUCGAAAUACAAGAAAUUAUGGUAAUUUGUAUCAUCUAUUUUAACAUAAAGUAAAUAUUAACUCUUUUUUACAUAUAAUCAAUUAGUCAUUAAACUUGAUAGUUAUAUAUGACAAAUUCACAAAAGAAAGCAAAAGAAAAAAUGGUUGCUGAGAUUGAAGUAGCAUCUGAAGAUUCUCUCAACAUGCAAGAAAUGAAAAAUCGGAUAUUCAUAGAAGUUGCUGAAAAAGAAAGGCAUGGAUGGGUCCGACGCCUUGGAUUGAGUCUAACACCAUCUGCCUAUUAUGGACAUAACUCUCCGUAAUUUACACUCUCAGCAAGUCAGUUUUUAUGAGACAUUUCAAUAUUGAAAGCAGAAAGAAAACAAAAGCGUGUCAAAAUUGAAGAAGAACGAGCUAAAAUAAAGCUAGAGCGUGCAAAAUUUCAACAGUUGCAUGAUUGAUUUGAUCAUCUUAUGAAUUUUAUGCAACAACAAUUUUCAAGAAAUGAUUUUAGUGCUCCACCAACUUAGGUAUUAUAUUUAGUAAAUAUUAAAAUUUUUAAAUAAAAAAUAAGCAUACAAUGAAGUGUUAAAAAUUGUAUGGUAUUAUUCAGUAGGUGGUUAAGCACGCUAGUGACUAAGGUGAAAAUUUUUCUUCAUCAAUUGGCAGCCAGUAAAAUGUAUGUAGUCAUCCAUUUCAUACAUUUUAAUUUUUUAUUUUGUUAAUGUAUUUACAAUAUUUGAAUGUUAUUAUUAAACUUUGUAUUAAUUAGAUGUAUAUUUAAACGUGAAUGAAGUUAAUAUUAAUUUCAGUUUCUGAAUUUAAGCUCUUUACUAAAAAUAAAAUUUAUUAUAAAAAAUUAAAAAAAUAUAUUUUUACAUAAUGACGGCGUUUGCAUUGGGCAAUGCCGCUAAAUUAAUAAUUUAGUCAUGUUUGUAGCAUAAAACACCACUAUAAGUAGCGACGCUCUUUUCAGCAAACACUGCUAGUUAGAUGACGUUUUUUAUAGAAACGUCACUAAAGUAACGGUGUUUUUCUCAUAACAACAUCACUAAAUUAGUGACGCCUAAAAGAUACAAACGUCACAAAUAUUGAGGCGUUUUCAAAUCAAACGCCAUGCAAAGUAGCGGCGUUUUUUGUAACAAACGUUAUCAAUGCAACGACGUUUUUUUUUCAUAAAAAUGUCACUAAAAUAACAGCGAUUAAAAGAUACAAAUGCCGUUAAUAUUGAGCCAUUUUCAUAUUCAAAUGCCUCUAAAGUAGCGGCAUUUUAAAGAUAUAAAAUACCGUUAAAAUGACGACGUUUCACAUAUAAACGCCGUUAAGAUUAAGGUAUUUUUUUUUUAAAACGUCGCUAUUUACUGCGACAUAUGUAUAGGCGGUACUCUACAUGACAUUUUUUCACAAACGCCACAACCUUAUAGUAACGUUAAUAAAUGCUGUUAAACGAUUAAAAAAACAUCGCUAAAAACUAAAACUCCUGUAAUGACCCCUUGAAACCUUUAAGAAGGGAGUUUAACACCCCCUUUCCAACCCCAUAUAGACCCUAUUGCAAAUAUCGGUUUAUGUAUUUUCUCUUUGUAGAGAUAAUUAAUAUAAGAAUAAUAAUUAGAAUUGUGAUAUUAUCUUUGUUGAAAAUAUUUAAAAAUUUUAAAAAAAUUUUAAUUUCAAUGAAAACAUGUUAUUUACAUGUAAAAUAUUAUGAAUGUCAUAUGUUAUUUAUAUAUCAUCAAAAAUAAUAUAAUAAAAAAUUUGAUUAGAUAAUAUUAUAUUUCUCUAAACUAUAUACAAAAUCUUUAUAUUUUUUAAAUUAACAAAACUCAAAAAUUAUAUAUUUUCAUUUAAUAUCAUUUUUCUUCUUGAAAUAUAAAAAUCUUUGAAUCAAACAUAUCUUAAAAGUAAAAAAAUCUUUUUCAUUACAGGAUAGCUGUCAUUUUUCAAAGCUCUCAAAUCAUUUUAAUUUAUAGUAGUAUAGAUAAAUUAUAUGCUAGCAUUUGAAUUUCAUUGAAACUGUAGUUUGUGGGAGGUUGUUGAAACGUGUUCCAGCAUUGGACCUUAAAAUUUGAAGGGGUGUAUGGCCUAUUGUUGAGUACAUCCUCUUUUGUUUAAAUUUGAAAUUCAAUAUGGCAGGCAAUUUACCACUAGUCCUCUUUGAUUGAGAAAGAUACCUCUGGCGAAUGCGGAAUCCAAAGAGACAAAUUCAAUUGCAUUAAUGGCAGUGCCAGCCAUGUCAGUCUUUUCUGUGGUACAAAUAAUAUCAUCUCAUCUCAUCUCACGAAAGCAUCCUUCAUCUGUUUUUGCCGCUUCAAAUUUUCUGUCCUUUUAUCCUACCGCUUGAAAUAAAAGAAUUUCCAUCGACCUCUGCAUUUAGCCAUUCAUAUUGCAAAAAAAGAAAAAGGCUACGUACCUAAAUUACAAUAAGUUUUGGCUGGACAUCCCAUAUUUUUUAGAGUUGGACAAUUUCAAAGGCAAUCGGUAUUUAUAGUGCCAUUACUAUUUAAUUUAGUAAUAUUUCUUAUAAUAAUUAUUUUGGUGAUGCCACUCCCACCAACUCUGACUUUGACACUCUUCCAACAAAACGACCUCUUAUUCUUAAUACCUAAGUAAAAAUUAAUGAUUUUAGGGUAACAUUUGUAACCUCAAUAUAACAUUAGUAGAACAUAUGUACCCUAAAAUGAUUAUAAUUUCUUUGCUUUGAAUUUACUUUUACAUUGAUCCAAUGGUCAAGGUAUAAUCUUCGUUAUGGUACAAUAAUUUAAAUAAUUAAUCUCCCUAAUUCUUUGUUUUUAAUUAAACCCAAUAAUUAACUUCAUCUUCAUUAAUUCUUUUAAAAUACUUGGAUAAAAUGAACAUGGUAAGGGAACUAACUUCAUUAAGUUGAUUUGUCUAUUUAUAUUUUUGUAUUUAUUAUAUUAAAAAUAAUAUUUUAAAACUAAAAUUAAAUUAAAUUAAUUAUUCAUUAAUGUAAUAAUAUCCAUUUUAAAAUUAAGGUCCAAGCCUGACUUAAAUUGAGUCAAAUCCAACCCGUUUUCGAUAGGUUUCGACCCGACCCUAUGAAGUCAUUUUUUUUUUUUAAUUCGGGUUUCGGGUCGGGUAAGGUUAUGAAAUAAUUGAAGUCGGGUUCGGGUUUUAGGUAAACCCGAUCCGAUAUUAUAUAAAAAUUAUUUUUUAAUUAAUUAUUUAAUUUUUUAUUUAUAUAUAUAUAUAUAUUUAUAUAAUGAUAUUUUUAAAUAUUUAUAUUUUAAAAAUAAUAUUUUAUAUUUUAAAAAUAAUAUUUUAUUAAUUUCAAAUCUGAUCGAGUAUGAUUUAUAUAGUAUCGGAUCGGGUUCGGGUGUAAAAAAAUAAAAAAAUUUUGGAUAAAAUUAAAUUCGAAUUUAAUAACAUAUAAAAAUCAGGUCGAAUUCGAAACGAGCAAAACACAUCCCGAACCCUAUCCGAUGUCAACCCUAAUCAAGCCCUAGAAUGUAGACCUGGACGCGUCUAUUUUUAAUACAAGUACUAGUUUUCUGCACUACAUGUAACGAAGGGAAAUAAAACUAAUUGUUUAGGUACUUAAGUAUUAAUUAAUAUAUAUUAUAUUAUGAAUUUUGUUAACAACUAUCUUUAAGGCAUUUUUUAAAUUAAUUCAAUAUACUAUUUAUAGUACUAUUAAAUGCAAUAAUUCACUAUUAAUUUAAUGAUUUUCAAUAUAUUGUGUAACAAUAAAAUAGCAUCUUAAAACACUCCUCAACAUUUGGAAGUGAGUAUUUUAUUUGAGUUCGUUUUUUAUACUUUGCCUAAUAUAAUUAUCUAAUCCCAUAAGUAAAAUUAAGAGACUGAAACAAGCAUACAGCAAAUACAACAUGCAUUAACAUGUAUCACCACUAUAUAAGCAAAUGUUAUUUGGAUAAUCAAAAGGGAAGGUGUAACAUUAUUCUAAUGUAAAGAAUAUUUCCGAAUCAUAUCAUGGAAACUUCAUGGCCCAAGUUAUGGUGUUCCACUAAAUAAAUGAUAUGUCACUUUUUUUUUUAUUUCUGUGACGAAAUGUCUCUUUACAAUGUGGCAUAGCCACAAAGGCCAAACUUUAAUAAUUUGUAAUAAUAAUUUAGUAGGCUUGAUCGAUUAUCCUCGUUUCUUCCUUAAACUGGCUUUGUAUUUUAGGUGCUAACCUAGCCAACCGCUUUUCCAACUUCAUUGAUAAAUUUAGAUAGUAGUGAUUGUACUUUGCACAUGUUACCACGUGCAAGUUUAUAGGCCAAAAGGGCAAAAUUAUGAUCCAUUAUUAAGGUUUUGCUUUUAUGACACCUUGGUGUAUGAUCAAUCACGGUGCAAAUAAUAAAGAGAUUCUCUUUUUUUUUUUUUUCCUUUAUGAUGAAAAGGGAAAAACAUUAUAAAAAUGUUAAUCAUAUGUUUAAUCCACAUUUUCAAAUUUUGCUAAUGUAAACUAAUCAAGUUGCUCUAGCUUCACUUGAUAAAUACUCAAAUUCAACUUAAUGGCUGUCCAACCUGAGCUCAAACUCGAAAUUAUUUAAGUAAUAAAUUGAGCCAAGUAUGAGCUUUUAAUUCUUAAAUCUAAUGGUAAAAAUACUUGGAUCACUCAUAAAUCUAUUGAUUUUUUUUUAAUUUCUUCAUAUUAUAUGUAAAAAUUAUAAUAUUAAUUUAUAUAUUUUAAAUUUUUAUUUGAGCUUUUAGAGUAAAUUUCAUCAAUUGAUUGUGAAUUUAUGUGAAGUUUCAUCUUCCUUCAUUCGCAUCUAAAGCUCGAAUUUUCUUAUUUACGACCUUUUCAAUUAAUCCAAAUGUAUUCUUCCUUUAACAUAACGCUAAAAUUUAGAUUACAUUUGUUGUGUAUGUCCAUCAAAAUGUCGGUAGCCAAUUUCAUCCAUAUUCUAUUCAAACUUUGUGCUCAACUUCAUCCAUAUUCCAUCCAAACUUUAAUGGUCGAGUAUUGAAGGAUUGAUGAAUUUGAAACAAAUUUAAAAGGUUAAAAAUAUAAAAAAAAAAUAAAAACUUUCAAGUUUCGACUGAAAAUAAAAUUCUAGAAAAAUCAUAAGCAACGAUGUAAUUUAUUAAAAAUUUUAAAUUUGACACUAUAUCAGUUCUUUUGAAAAAAAUUUAUUAAUAUUUUAUUUUUUUAAAUCAAAUUAUAUUUUUAUUCAAAAAUGACAUAUAACAAUCAUAUAUACAUUUAUGUUAUAGCCAUUGUGCUCCAUGUAGAUGCCAUAUAUAAAAGCCAUAAAUAAUUUUAUGAUGACAUGGCAUGCUAACAUGGCACAUAAAUGCUAUGUGUUAUCAUCUCAUUAACUAGUUGUCUUAUCAGCAUAUUUGUUAACGAUAUUAAUUCUAUGUAUCACAUUAUUAUAUAAUUUGAUAUAGUAUAAUUGUAAAAGUGUUGCAUUGAACAUUUUUAAAGUGCAUGUUCUACAUCGAAAAAAUGCAUAAUAUAAGAACUAAAUAUGAAGUUAUAAAGUCUAGGAAACCAACCCUUGCUAUAUAUAUUUUAUGUUAUAUUUUUUAAUUAUCAAAUUUGAAUGAUCUAUUGGUAAAAUGUUGAACUUUUAAUUUUAAUAAUUAAGGUUAGAAUUCUGCCAACUUUAUAUAAUAAAAAAAAUAUUAUAAUUUAUAUGGCACAUGCAUGUUUGAUGUUCGUGUAAAUGAGCCUACUAAUUAGAGAUAUCUCAUGAAAGCAUAAAUGCUCAAUACUCUCUUGUAAGUUAUAAAAAUAAAAGCCAAAAGGUUACAUGACAUAAAUCCACAAGAUGGCACAAUGUUGAUAGAAAAUGAUCAAUUAUCAGGAAGUAAGUUAAGUAGGCAUCCAGUUUUUUAAUAAAAUAACGUGUUAUUAUUAUUUGAGGACCAAAAGAUACGACACACGCAUGGCUUAAAACAUUUUAAAAAGUAAAUAAAUUUAGCAUAAUGUGAGGUCAUUAGUCAAUAGAGUCGGAUCCAUGAUCCCAUCCCCUUUUAGCUUCUGUAAUUUGUUCAAUUGUACAAGAAAAUAAUAGUAACAUAUUAAAAUACUAAUAUUUCUUAUUUUCUUUGUUCUUUUUUAUUUUGUAUUCCAUUAAUUAACAACUUUGGUAUACUAUAUUAAUUAUUAUUAUUAUUAUUAUUAUAAUGCGAUGGGCAAAAAGACAAUAGAUGAAGAAAUGUUAAAAGAUUUGUGUUUUGUAAGAUUCAAAUUCGAAAACUAUGUUAAAUUGAAAAAUCAUUUAUCUUAAAAAUUUAAGUUUGAUAAAACUUUAAUUAUUAUAUUUAAAUUCUAACACUCGAAUAAUAAUAAUUUAUUUUAUACAUAUAAAAUACAACAAGUCUAUAUUGGCUUAAGGCUGAAUUGAACUUACUGAUAAGUAAUAACUAAGUAGCAAAAUAGCUUAAAUUAAUUACUAAUAACAAAUGUAAAAAUAUAUAAUAACAAUGUAAAUGGAAAAAAGAAUAGCUUAAGCAGAAAACCAAGCCAAGUCGUAGUAUCUUAGAUAAAAAAAAAUUUUUAACGGUGUCAAUGUUAUUAAUAUUUGAUGAAAAGUCUUAUUUUUUACUCAAAUGAGAAUUAAAAUGGAUAUUAAAGUUUGGGAUGGGAUGAAAAUGGAUAUAAUUUUAAAUAUUUUAUCGAAUAUUAAAAUAAAUAAUAUAACAUUCGUUCUAUAUUUGUAUCUUAUAAAUAUGUUUAUAUGCAUUUAAUAAAUAUAUUUUUAUUAAAUAAUAUAAAUUUUUAUUUAAAUGAAUUAGAAUUAAUAUAUUUUAUUUUAUAAAAAUAUAUUAAUAUAUAUUUAAAACAAAAUUUACAUAAAUAUGUAUGAUAAAAAUUAAAAAGUUUAAAAAAUUAGUUUUUAUUUAAAAAAAAUUAUAGGUGAUGGAUUAUUUGUACCCAUUAAGAUUCCGUUUGUUUUAAAUAAAUUUUCUUUCAAAAAAUAUUGCACUUUUCAGAAAAGUAGAGAUUUUUUAUUAUUUAAAUGAAUCAAUAAAAAAUAUUUUCAAUUGUUUGAUUAUUUUUUAGACAAUUUUUUUAAAAAUAAUAUUGAUAUAACUAUUAAAAUAUUAAUAAUUUUUUAUGACUAAAAUAUAUUGAAAUUACUUAUAUACUUUAAUAGUGGUAUUUAAUAAUCAAAUUUUAUAUUAAUAUACAAAACACUUAAAACAAAACUAGUUAUUAUUUUUAUUAAUAUUUUAAAAUAUUUAAAAUGACAUUAUUAUUCUUAAAAUAUUAUUUUUGUUAAUAUAACAAUAAUAGUAAUAUUUAUAUUAAAAUAUUAAAAAUAUUUAUACUAUUAAAAUAUUUAUAUUUUAUAUUGAAAGUAUUUAUUAUUAAAUCAUAACAAAAAAAUUUAUUUGUUUUAUUAUUCAAAUAAUAAUAUAAAUAUAUUAAUAAAUAAAAUAAAAAUAAUAUAUUUUAAAUUAAAAACAAUAAUAAAUUAUUAAAAUAUUCAUUUUAUGAAAAUAAUAAUAUUAAUAUAUUAAUAAUAUUUUGGAUUGGGCUAAAUUAAAUUUGAGUAUGAAAAAAUCAUAUUUAAGAUCUGACUUAAAUAAAAUUGUGCUCAUGAGUUUGGUAAGUAAUUUUAUUCCUUUUCAAAUGGAGAAGAUAAUUUUAAAAUAUGAACUUUUUUUUCAUUGAAUAAUAAAUGAUUUUUUGUUAACAAACUAAUUUUUUAUCAAAAAAAUAUAAAAAAAAAUGCAAAAAUUAUCUUUUAAAGAUUAUUUUUUGUGAAACAAAUAGAUUCUAAAUAAUUGUGAAAAUAAAAAUAAAAAUAAAUUUUAAAUAUCGUUAAAUAUAAAUAAAAAUAUAUAAUAUAAAAAUGAAAAAAAAAAUCUGCGCACCUCAUUUCCUGUCUGUUAAUAUCCUAUUUCUUUCUACGUGCUUUAACCCGACCCUUACCAAACGGAGAGCUGAUGCCUAGUACAUAGAGUUUAAGCUGAUAUAAAUGGUAGAUACAGCGUAUCUGAGGUUUAAUCCAACGGUAGUAAUUAGAUCAAAAUCCCAAGGCGGAGAACAUGGUUAGAAGUGAGAAAACAAAGGCUGUCAGCCAGGUCACCCUAUCUUUUCCUCAUGGUGGCGCCAAUGAUUCCCCGUUCCCCCCUGCUCUAUUUUUAAUUUAAUUUCCUCCAAAUUUCAUUUGCAUUUCAAAAAUUUCCCAAAGUCUUCCAAUAUAUAAACGCCCCUUUCUUUUCUUCAGCUCUCCAUCUCCGUCUCACCAGAGAGAAUAGAGAGAAAGGAAAAAAAAAAAAAAGUCCUCGUCAUCUGCUUCCUCUUCUACUCUCUCUUUCUCUCUGAAACUCCUCGUUCUUUUCUUGUUGAGGUAAAUCUUUUGUUUUUGCCUUUAUUUUACUUCAAAUCCACCUAUCUGUGGAUGUUUUUUAUGUUUUGCCGAUCAUGGAAUUGAGAUCUAGGGUUCUAGAAGUUUCUACGGAGUUGUAGGGAGUUAGAUUUGGCUUGAUCUGCUUCACUUUGUAUCUGGAUCUUUACUUAGCUUGAUCUGCUUCUUUACACUUGUGAUUUCUGUGUAGAUCUUAUGAGAAUUGGUUUUUGUUUUUGUCUUUAUUUUGAAUUUGAUCUUCUUCCAACUUGUACUGAUUAAUGCUUUCAGUUUGUAAAUUUAAUGCUUUUCGAAGGCCUCUUUUUGAGGUUAAGAAAAGGCUCUAAUCUUGAUCUUUAUUUCCUUUCGUAAUUGAUUCAAUUUGUUGUCCAACGAAUUAUAGAGUUGCUUGUUUAGAUGCUGACAAAUGAAUGUUGUUUGCAUUUUGAACCGACUAAAUUUGGUCGACCCACUGCAGUAGCAAAACUUAUGUCUUUUAGCUAGCUAGGAUACUGAAUGGUUUUAUUUUAUGCUUUUAAAGAAAUGAAUUUUGAUUUAAGUGUUUCUUUUUUCACUAAGAGAAGCCACAACUUAAUUUGUUUGAAGGCUUUGAUUUGUCUUGUUUAGAUUAGUUGAAAGAGGUAUAUAAUCUAGGUUGGCAAGUGAUUUUUCUAUACUCACUAUCUCAAUUCUUGUUUCUAGUAUUGUAAAAGAUGGCCGAUGCUGAGGAUAUUCAACCCCUCGUCUGUGACAAUGGAACUGGAAUGGUGAAGGUUAGUUGAUUUCUAGACCUGAGUUAUAUUCUCCAUUAUUGUUUAUUUCUUUAUGAAAGAUGUGUUACUUUGCCGUGGUUGAUCUGAUUUUGUUUAUCAUGCAGGCUGGUUUUGCUGGUGAUGAUGCUCCCAGGGCAGUUUUCCCAGUAUUGUUGGUCGACCCCGGCACACUGGUGUCAUGGUUGGUAUGGGUCAGAAGGAUGCCUAUGUAGGAGAUGAGGCACAAUCUAAGAGAGGUAUCCUUACUUUGAAAUAUCCCAUUGAGCAUGGUAUUGUCAGCAACUGGGAUGAUAUGGAAAAGAUCUGGCAUCAUACAUUCUACAAUGAGCUCCGUGUUGCUCCUGAGGAGCACCCUGUGCUUCUCACAGAGGCACCUCUUAACCCCAAGGCCAACAGAGAAAAGAUGACCCAGAUCAUGUUUGAGACCUUCAAUGUGCCUGCCAUGUAUGUUGCCAUCCAGGCCGUUCUCUCUUUGUAUGCCAGUGGUCGUACAACAGGUUUGUUAAAAUAGAACAUCUUUGGAUUUAUCAUAUUUUUAGAACAUUCCUAAUCAAGCUAACACUGAAUUAUUUCCCUAUUGGAACAGGUAUUGUGCUGGAUUCUGGUGAUGGUGUUUCCCACACUGUGCCAAUCUAUGAAGGCUAUGCCCUUCCACAUGCCAUCCUUCGUCUAGACCUUGCUGGUCGUGAUCUUACUGAUGCUUUGAUGAAGAUACUUACCGAGAGAGGUUACAUGUUCACCACCACUGCUGAACGGGAAAUUGUUCGUGACAUGAAGGAGAAGCUUGCUUAUGUUGCCCUGGACUAUGAGCAGGAACUGGAGACUGCCAAGAGCAGCUCUUCU